rnacentral:lncRNA from 1 species
AUUGUUGGAUGUAACCCGCCUAAUUUAUUCAAUGUGAUAUAUAAAAAUACAGUCAAUCUAUUCUAGUCGAUAUAUAAAAAUACGGUAGAUUUAACGGUUAUGAUGUAUCUAAACACAUCCUUAAUAUAUGGAUGUAAUUUAACAUUUUUACAUUAAAUUAUAUAUAAACAUAUGACAUACAAGAAUUUUAAUUUAACCAUAAUUUAAUUUUCUGUGAUAGCUCUAUUUUCAAUAAUAAAAAAAUUAGACUCAAAACGUCUCGCUCUUUUACAUAUUGCGAACGAGGAUAAACCACAAGCAAGAAUUACCGUCUAUAAUUCGGGUACAAAAAUCGAAAUCACAGCAGAAGAUACGAUUUUAGUUUUUAAUAAAGUUUUAACAUUUGAUAUCAAAGCCAUAUCUUUCGCCAAAUUUUCAUUUUUAUAUAUUCCUUUUGAUUUUUUUUUUAUUAAAAAUAAAUAAAUAAAUAAUUUUGUCGAUUGGUUUGCAUUAAGGGUGCGUUUGGUUCGAGUUAUCCUGGCAGGAUUACAGGCAAUCCUGCCAGGAUAACUAUGUUUGGUUAAUCCGCUAUGUAAUCUAAUCGUUAAUGUAGGAUUACAAAUCGAGCAGGAUUAUAUCGAAAAUAUUAACGGGAGGGGAGUCGUGUAUCUUGCAUUACUGAAAUCCGUUAAUACUACAUAUUAUGUAAAAUAAUAAUUUUACCCUCAAACAACCCCAAAUCUAAUUAACGGCAUUAUUUUCAUCUCUCUCUCGCCUUCCCCCCGGCCCUCUCUCUCGCACGCCGCUUUCUCUCGCUCUCUCUCUCUCGACGUCUCUCUCUCUCUCUCGCACGAACACCUAUCAUCUUCUAUUGCGUCGUCCUCCAAAGUAAUCAUCACGAUCUCCUUCCAUCCGUUCGUCAUUUUCACAAAAAAUAAUAUUCAAAUGACCGCAACAAGGGUAAUUUUGAAAAAAAACUAUACUUUUAUGUCAGGAUUACUAAAUUUUAUAAACUGAACCAAACAUAUUAAUGCUAUAAAUACUGUAAUCUAGUAUUACAUUACUGUAUUAAACCAAACGUUUUAAUGCAGCAUUAGUAGUAAUCUCACGCCGAAAUCUAAAAUACCUGGAUAUGUCGAGAUAUUUUGUAAUAUUAUAUAACUCGAACCAAACGGGCCCUAAUAGUGAUAUUGACUAGACUCGAUCAAGACCGGCGUCCGGAGGAACGACGUCAUUAGCCUAGCCGCAUUAAGUCGAUUCAAGAAGUUAAAAAAAAAAAAAAAAAGGAAAAAAAAAAAAAAACAAGAAGAGAGGUAGGGAGUGUCAACCGGUUUCUACCAGAGCCGCGCGGAGGCAUCACACAUCCUUCGGCCGCCCUUGGCGGGGCCCACGUGUACGGCCCGAUUAACCCCAUGGGCGGCCAGGAGCACCCACUUGGAUGCGGUCAACAAAAAAACAAAAAAAAAAAGAAGCUGCCGGGACCCUGGAGCAUCCAAGUGGAUGCUCCCCAACUUGGAUGCUCCCCAACCAAAAAAAAAAAAAAAAAAAAAAUAUAUUUUUUUUACUGAAAAGUGAAUAUGUAUAGUUUUAGUCUAUAAUUAUUUUUUAUUAUGUGAUUCGGUCUUAAAAAAAAUUAUAUAUAAAAUCAUGUAUAACGUUUCGUAUUUAUUAUAUAUAAUUUUUAUACUACUCAUUAAUUUAUUUAUUCAUGACUACUAUAUAAUAGUAUACUUAGUUUAAUUUGUAUGGUAUAUUUUUAUUAUUAUUCUAAACACACAAAGGUGCUCAUAAAAAUAGAACAAAGUAAAUAGACUUUAUAUAGUUUAUAACUCUUGAGUCAUAUAAGAUUGUUAAAAAAAUUAUUUUAGACUUUAAUUCUUUUCCGCUACAUUUUGAAAUAAUAUAAAAUUUCGGUUAUUUAAUAUUAUAUAUAGAUUUGUGAGAUCAAUUAUGUGUAAGAGUAGCCAUAGCAUCAUAAUCAUGAUAUGUGACCACAUACUGUAUUUUUAUAAGAUAAUAUUGAAUUAAAGUUAACCCGAAAAUUCGUACGGAUUUCUAGUUUAAUUUUAAUAGCCAUUUCAAGUUAUUUGUAUUUUUCAUUAUACUUAGAAAUAGCCACAGUAUCCUAUAGAUUAUAAAGAAUACAUAAAAAUUUAUUGACAUUGAGUCAAAAUUUGACCAUUUAUUGCAAUCAAAUAAGUAGUAAUUUUUGAAUUUUGACUGGAAUAAGAUAAUAGAUUGAAUUUUUAGAUAGCGAUUUUCUCUUAUACCUACAGAUACAGAAAUCUCGUUAUUUAGAAAUUAGCUUUCCGCUAGUCUUGUUAUUAAAAUAGAUAAAUUAUAUGUGUGUAGUGCCUUUUUCCACAGGAAAAUAAAAUUUAUCUAAUAUAAAAAUUAUUAUCUUAUAAUAGGCGAUAAAAGUUAUAUAUUUUUUUUGUUCUUACAUAUUCCUUCUCUACUGCAUUUCUUAAUGAUGUUUCUCGUAUUCCUAUACUUAUUGAGGACAACUAUUCUGAUUGGAAAGUAAUUAUUUCUUUAUUUUGGGCUAUAUGGAUUUAAAUUUGGUUCUGCGCGUUGAGCAACCGUCUAAAGUCGUUGGGCUAAUGACCUCACAGAAGAAAUUCGCGCAGAAAAAGUGGGAGCAAUCCAACUGCUUAAGCUUGAUACUCAUAAAGUUUAGAGUAUCAAAAAAUAUAAGGAGAUCAAUUUCAGAAUGUGAUAAAGCCAAUGAUUACUUAAAAGCCAUUGAGAAGCAGUUUGUCUCCUCCGAUAAAGUUUUGGUGAGUGCGCUAAUGAAGCAACUUUCGGGCAUCAAGUACAAUCGAGUUAAGGGUGUGCGCGAGUAUAUCAUAAAAAUGCGGAACAUAGCAGCUUAGCUAAAGGUUUUAAAAGUUGAGAUUUCUAACAUUUUCUUAGUCUAUAUAAUUCUAAAUUAUUACCGUCUGAGUUUGCCCCUUUUAAGAUCUCCUAUAACACACAUAAGAAUAAAUGGUCAAUAAAUAAAUUAUUGAACAUGUCUGUUCAAAAAGAUGAGAGACUUAAACAGAAGAAGUUGGAAAAAUUAUAAUAGAAUCUGUUAAUCUGGUGACUCGAUGCAAAAGAAAAAAGUGAAAAUGUGCCUUUAAUUAUAAGAAGUCAGCGCAGUUGCCAAUAAAGAAUUCUGGUAAAAAAAAUUAAUGUUAUUUCUGUAAAAAAAAAUGGCACAUAAAAAAGGAUUGCUUGAAGUAUAGAGCUUAACUCGAGAAGAAUGGUAUUAAAACUAUCUAUAUCUAUUAUGAAUCUCAUUUAAUUAAUGUUCUUAAAAAUAUAUGGUGGAUUGACUCUGACACUACUAUAUAUAUCUCAAAUACCAUGCAUGAUUUUUACAACUAAAAAAUGUUGAAGCAAUCGUAGGAAACUUUAUUUUAGAACUUACUACUGGUUUUGUACUUGAAUCUGAGGAUAUUUUUUAUAUCUCCAAAUUUUUUAGAAAUUUAGGUUUCUAAAUUAAGAAAUAAAGGUUUCAAGUUUUUCUUUUGGAAAGAAUCUUUUACUAUCUUCUCCGAUAAUGUUAUUAUUGGUAAUGGUUGUUUGGUGCCUAAUCAAAUUUGUGUCGUCUAUACGGUAUAAAUAUAUCACUAGAUCAAGUAGGAGAAUGUUGGAUGUGACCCACAUAAUUUAUUUAAGGCGAUCUAUAAAGAUAGAGUAGGUCUAUUCAAGUCGAUGUAUAAAGAUAUGGUAGAUCUAACGGUUAGAAUGUAUCUGGACACAUUCUUGAUAGACAAACAUGAUUUAACAUAUUUACAUCAAAUUACAUAUAAAUAUGUAACAUACUGAAGUCCUAAUCUAACACUAAUUUAAUUUUCUGUGACGAUUCCAUAUCCAGAAAUAAGAGAAUUAGACUCGAAACGUUCCGCUCUCUUGCAGAUCGCGAACAAGAACGAACCACGAGCAAAAAUCAUCGUUUACAAAUCGGAUACGGAAAUCAAAAUCGUGACAAAAAGUACGAUCUUAGUAUUUAAUAAAGUUUUAACAAAAUUUCUCAUCAACUGUAUUUAUAUCAAAUAUAUAAUAUGUGUUACAGCUUGAGUUUCACACCUUUUUUUUUUGUAAAAUAAAUAAAAGAAAAAACUAUAUCUCAAACACCAACCAUAAAAUCUUUAGCCAAGAAGUUUCCUAGAUGCGGAUACAAAUCUUUGAAUUUUAUUAUAAUAUUUCUUAGCUUUUGAGCUAAAUCCCUCCAUCAAAUUGAAUACAAAUAACAGUAUAAACAUCUCCUAACUAUUGCGUGAGAAACUUUUAGUAGUCUUAUAUGGUGAUUACAUAGGAAUUUCAAUCAAAUUUAACCAGGAAUUUGGCAAAAAGAAUAAAAAUUGCAAAAAAGAAAAAUGCAACUAAUUGUAAUAAUUGAAAGAGUAUUGGAGACCAAAUUAACUUCUAUUUUGGAGUAGAUAAAUGGGACUUGAGCCCAAAUUUUUGGAGGUAUGAGUCAUAUAUGGGCCAAAUAAUUAAUAGGCCCGGAUAUUUUUCAAGCUCUUCUUCUAGGGUUUUGAAACAUGGACAAACAAUAGACAAUGUUAGGUUGUUUUCAUACAAACAUUAGAUGCAUAUAACACCCUACUAGUUUCACAUUUAAUGGAAAGAAAAAAUUAUGCAUGAAUAUAUAAAAAAUUAGGGCUCUAAUAAUAAUAAUAAUUAAGAUUAAUUAUGUUGGACAAGGGCUAUGUCAUUACAUGAUUAGUAAUAAUUCCUAGCUUGUUAUUUUCAUUGUGCACGCGUCGCUACCUAAGUAUCUUUAUAAAUAUUUUAUUCGCUUUACCUUUUGAUUUACUAAAAGAAGAUAGAGUUCUAGUUUUUUUUUGAAAUAAAAUAAAUUAUUUUGUAAUAUAAAUAUAAAAAAAACUUCUACCUACACAAUUUUAUUCUGAUAUUCAAACAGGAAUUUAACCUUUGUCAUUGAUUUUAAGUUAUAAACUGGCAAAUGAGAGGUGAGAUUUCACAUGCAAUCUUAGUAGAGUGCUCGGCAUCGAUGCCUCGUUAAGGAGCUCCCGAUCCGCUGCUAUUUGUUAGUUUUAUUUCAUCCAAUAAUUUGUUGGAUAUUAUUUGGGCUAAAUUAUAAAAAAAAUUAUGUAAAUAUCUACUUUUUUUUUUUCCCUCUCUGAAUUUCAAAAACUUAUAUUUACUCCAUUAAAAUUUUCAGAAAUACUUUAAGGGAGGGUACGUAUUUAUGGAGAUGACAAAAUAACCAAGUUAUCCUUACUUCUUCUAUAAAAAAAAAAAGAAAAAAAAAAUUUUAAUAUAUUUCUAUCAUUUUGAAGAGUAUUUUUUUGUAUAAAUUAUAAGAAAUUGACAGAACAGUAAUAGAACGCUGACCGGUAGGGAGGGGGAGGGUUAAAUGCAAUAAAUGUGGAGGGGGUAAAAUACAUAUUUUUAAAAAAUUGAAAAAAAUUUAAAAAAAAUAUUUAUAAAGAGAUUUUUGUGAUUUAGCUUUUUUUUAAUACUAAAAUAAAAAUAAAUCCUAGAAAGAAGCAUUAUAUAUCUUAGAUAUAAAUAAAAAUGACACAUAACUGGAGAAUUCACAGCAGUUUUUUUUUUAAAAAAAAAAAAUUUGGUAUUGCCUCAUCAUCUCAUGCACCCAAGAUUCUAUGCAUGUACAACUUGUAAGAGGAUCACUAAUAAAGUGCCCUACUAUUUACUACUACUAGACCUGCUUACUCAGAAUCAGUACACACCUGCAAUCCUAUAUUAUGUCCAAAAAGAGAAUCAUCAUAGCUUUAUCUGCUACAAACGUUCUACUAUUACUACAUGGAGGGGGUAUCGAGGUGCCAUCACAUAUUCACAUCCUUAUUAUUAGUUUAUUGUAGAGUCCUCGAUCCCAUACUUAACUCUUGCUUCUGAUUUUUUAUUCCUUUUUUUUUCUGUAAAUGAAGGUAAAAGUUGGCCAAGUUUUAUUUAUUUAUUUAUUUAUUUAUUUUCUUUCGAAAAUACAAAUCACCCUUUGAUUUAUUUCUGAGCGUACAGCAUGACUCUCUCUCUCUCUCUCUCUCUCUCUCUCUCUCUCUAUAUAUAUAUAUAUAUAGAGUUGGACUGCGCUACUAUUAGUAGCAAAAUUCUAUUGUUGCUACCAGUUUUUUAGCCUUUGGAUCAACUCUUUUCAUUAUUUCUAACCAUUGGAUUAAAUGCUAGCUGUGGCAACUUGUACUAGAUCUGGUAAAUUUAAUAGAUCUUUAGUUUAAAGUACUAAAAAACCGUAGUGAUUGACUUGCUAGUUUCCCGGUGUUUUAAAUAUUAAAAUUUCCAGCUAUACCACGCAAACGAGCAAAUUGCCAUAUCUUCUCAAGUUUAGUUGAUUUAAAAAUAUUUUUUUAAGAAAUUUAAUAAAUUUUAUUCUAGAUAUGAGAUCUAGAGUUUAUAUUUUUAACAUAGCAGUGAAAAACUUUCUAUAAGUGAAGGUCAGUAAAUAAAAAGACAAGUGAAUUACCUGUUCUCUUGUUAUAGCUUUUACACACUUUAAACUAAAGGUCUAUCAAAUUUAUCAAAUCUAGUAUAAAUUGCCACAGCUAGUAGUUAAACCUUCGAGAUAGUAGCUUUUGUUUAGCCAUCAUUUGGCUCGGCAAAUGAUGGCUAUCAUAAGAUCGUUUUGAGAUAUAUAUAUAUAUAUCUUAAUCCGACCUUAUGAUAAUUAUCAUUUUACGAGAAAAACGAUAGUUCAAAAAUUGGGAACCUACUUUUUAACAUCCCAGUCCUACUAUAAUCAGCCAAUCUUAACUCACCAGGCGGAUCCCAACUCACCAGGGGUGACCCAAUAUUAUNCUUGAACCGAACUUGAACCAAUAUUUCUUAUAGUUUCGGAACCGAACCGAACAGAACCGAACCCUUUUUAUAAUUGAACCGAUUAUCUAUAUAAAUUGUAAUCUGAACCGAACCAUAGAACUCCAUCUCUCUGAACCUCUGAACCGAACCGAACCGAACCAAACCGAACCCUAUCUAAACCUGUAAAUAAAACCAAACCAAAACUCUCUGUAUGCAAAGCGUUUACUCUCCUCUCCCCCUCCGCCGCCCUUGCUGAAACGCUCCCCUUCUGAGCGUUCUUGCUUGAGCGUUCUUGCUUCUUCGCUCUCCCUCUUGAUUUCGUGUGGUAAGCCGUUUCCUCUCCUCCGCCGCAGCAUCCGUAUCUAUUUCCGUUUCAGAGAAGAUCGUGUCUCAUCAUUCAUCAUUCAUCAAACUACCACCGUUUCAAAUGAGAUCGUGUAUCAUUAUUUCUUUAAUCAAAUGUACUGGCUGCCGCUUCCUCUACCCUCAUUGCUGCUACAUUCUUGCCUAUAUAUUUCAUCCAUCCCUCAGAUCAAAACCAUCAUGUGAUAGGUAAGAAAAUUAGGUUUUCUUUUAUAAUUUCAUCAUAAAUUAAAUAUAAGAAAUUUAUGUUUUUUUUUUUCUUAUAUAAGAAUGUUAUUGUCUAAUUCUCAGGAAUCGACGCUCACAUUCCCACGAUCUGGACGUUUUCUUCUUCCUAGGGGUUUCAGGUUAGUAGUUCUUUUUUCUUUCAUGAAUUAUUCCUAUUUCAUGAAUUUUCAGGUUAAAUAUUUAAUAUUUAUAUAUAUGCGAGUAUUGAUUUUCUUUUUUAAUCAGUGGAAAAAUGUGAAAAAGUUAACAAAUUAUUCAAUAAUUAUAGGCGAAUAAUCGAUGAGUUCUUAAAUUAUUUCAUUGAUAUGUAGUUUUCCACUCAGCAUUCACAUGACAAAUAAUUAGUGGAAUGAUAGGGCCGGUGAAAAUUCAUGAAUGUAGAUUUAUAUUAAUCAGCUUCAAAUUCUUACCUCAAUUCUUAGAAUUUUCUUUCACUCCUCUUUUUUCGGAGUGAUGAACUAUACUUCCCUUUAUCUUUCAUUUGACUGCAGCAAUGGCCGCACCUGUUAGCAUUGAUAUUAAUUUUCGCCGUCUACUCCGCAAGAUCUGCGCUAAAUUUUCGCUUAAUCCUCCAAGUUAUGGAAUGACAUUAGAUGCGGACUUGCGAUUUUGUUCUUACGUCGAUGUGGAAAUUCCAAGAAAUAGCCGAAUCAUAGAAGUCAUUACAAGUUGGGGUGCACCGUCUUCGAAUGCUAAUCGUACCAAAGAGGAUGCUGCAAGGAUUGCUAUUGGGAGGCUUCGCAACGAGUUACGCUUUGAAGUUAAGGACACAAAUUACGAGGAAAGAAAAUCUUUAAGAGGUUUAUACGAUCAGCUUUGUCACGAUCAUGAAGAGCUUCGCGACGAAUAUGAAAUGCUUAAGUUAGACUACGACCUUCUCAGAAGGUUCUAUAAUUCUUUGGUCGUAGAAAGGGAUCGAAUUGUUGCCGACUUGGAAGAAUUGAAGGAAAACAUUGAUAAAUGUUUUGAAAUAAUUCACGAGCCCAACGUUGUUCCAAUGGAUGGUGAGUCGGCGGCAAACCCUGAUGAACAUGUGAUGCCGCCUUCUCCAGAUCAUUCGCCUACCGUAUGUGGUCCGGAGCAUACUAUGAUAACCGAUGAGGACCCGGAUGAGGACCCGGAUGAGGACCCGAAGACACCUUUUGACUGCAAAACCUAAACUUAUUCUGUCAUCUUUUUUCUCUUUCAAAUGGUGUCGUCCUUCCUUAUUCUGUCAUCUUUUUUCUCCUUUUCAAAUGGUGUCGUCCUUCCUUAUUCUGUCAUCUUUUUUCUCCUUUUCAAAUGGUGUCGUCCUUCCUUAUUCUGUCAUCUUUUUUCUCUUUUUUUUAGGAUUUUCCUUCUGUUUGCGUUGUAAGUAGCUAAGUUUUAUGUUUUUUGUGUUUUCAUCUUUUUCUUUCAUAAUAGGAGUUGAUUGCUGUUUGCGUCCUUUUAAUACAGUGUCCUCUUUGUUUUAUUAUGGUGUUCAGUGUAGUGAAUAUAUAUUAAAAUAUCAUCGAGAUUCCACCAAAAACUAAAAUAUUGUGAGAACUAACAGGUGGAAGACAUGUCAAAAAUAAUAAGAUGGUUGUAUUACAAAUCUACAAAAUAUAUAAGCAUGUAGUAUGAGCUAAAACAAGACCUCAGAUAAUGAAGGUUACUGCGAGAGUAAUAACUUAUUAUAUUUAAGUGCUAGAUACCAUUUUACUAAAUGCUAUUAUGCUCCACAAGGAAAUCCAAAGCAGGAUAAAGCUAGGGGGCAAUCCACAAUUGAUCUUUGACUUCUAUACUACAAGAAAAUUUUAUAAUUCACCAUAAAAUCUAUUGCAAAUAAGAAAUAGAGGUUAACAAUUCAGCUUCAACAUAAAAACUGUUUUUCGAUUUUCUACCUCAAAGAAAACUAAAUUUCUUGCUCAUAUUCCCUCCAAAUUGGUCCAAGCAAAAUUCUACUCAAAAGAGGAUGAAGUCAAGACCACUAUCGAUCGUUCCAAAGUUCAUCUUCUACAAGAAAUUCAAAUGUAUUUUAUCAAAGCCCAAAAUUGGUCCAUUUCAGUCCAGUAAAUCAGAAUUUCAACUUCCCCCUACACAACUACAUAUAUUCAAUUUCGAAUUUGGAGCUUCACAACUCCUCUAAUUAAGCACCCUUCUCCCAAAUACUCUGCUGCCAGCCAGCAGAGAAAUGAGGGUAAUUGGAGAAAUUAGACGAAAUUUGUUGCGAGGAUGGAGUUCCCAGGUGGAGAGAAGUUAGAGUUCCACCAACACUCCAACUCAACAAAGUGGAUACAAAGUAAUCCACAAUUUCAUCAAUUAUCAAAAUACUCUCAACAUACUGAAAUUUCAGCAUAGAUAUCAAAUGUGCACAAAUUACCUCAUACCUAAAAUGAGUCUUACCUAAAUAUAAGAGUCCAGUAGCUAUCAUUCUUCACGAAUCCUCAUCUUAAAUCCAAUUUAGCCUCCUCAACUCCCAACUUGAAUGCUGCAGCAUAUAAAAGGUGAUUGAAAAGAAGCAAAAGGAUCAGUUUGAUGUAAAUAUAUUCAAUGACACCAAAUAGAAUGCUGUCAUAGAUUUUUACAGUCCAAUUUAGCCUCCUCAACUCCCAACUUGAAUGCUGCAGCAUGUAAAAGAUGAUUGAAAAGAAGCAAAAGGAUCAGUUUGAUGUAAAUAUAUUCAAUGACACCAAAUAGAAUGCUGUCAUAGAUUUUUACAGAAACUGAUGUAUUAAGUGGGACUAUUUUAUUCCCUACCCUAUCAACAUGAAAACAAAGUAUUAAGGCGACACUCAUAGUAACAUAGAACAGUUUGUUGUUUGCAUGAUAGACUAAGUCAUCCAAUGCACAAAAAUUGAUAGAUCAAACAAAUCAAGUUUCCUACAAAAUCUGGCAGAAGGAAACUAUUUAGAAGUCUAUAGUAUCUCAAACUCUAGCAUUUUAUUUGCUGUCAGGACAUUAGGGAUUCCAUUUUGUUAAUGAAAAAUAGAACAUGUUACUGUUGUAACCAAAACUCGAGGCUAGGAAAAUCCAUAUCUGCUGCCAAACAUAGUUUUGGACAGUUGAAAAUAUUACCAAUCAGUUUCUCCAUAGGAUAUAGAAAUUCACGUUCAACAAAAGAAUAUAGAUCAUGUAAUUCCCAACUUCAAUAGUGGGGGAAACAUAUAUAUAUAUAUAUUAAACAUAUAAAUUGACCUCCUCUUCUAUGAAUGGAUUAACUGGUACAACUAAACCACUUAAGAUUAUAAUAGAGGGAUCAACAACAAGUGGUUUUGAUAUGAAACAUGCCAUAAAAGAUGAUGAUUGUGAUAUGAAAGAGUUUCUAUUUUCUAUGCUCGGAGAGGGGUUUAAACUCAGCAUAGAUGAGAUUUGAGAAGUUAUUGGUAACAAUCAUUUUAUUUCACAUCUGUUGUUCAACUAUAUCAUUUUUAAACAAAUUGAAUAUGUAGAGUUUUUUGUUGGUGGCAACAAAGUCUUAUUGCUUUAGAAGUUCUUCUCCACUUGGACUGAUUCUUUAUGUAAUUUUGUUAUUCUUUCAUGCUGCCAAGUUGCAUUUUCAUUCAUUAGCCUGAAAUGCUGAUAACCCCCUGGUUGUAACUCACGAAAUAUAUUUAGUUGUUCCUGGUUCUUCUUUGUAAUAGCAGCAAAUUACUAUGUUCUACCUUUGUUCUGUGCUAUUGUACCUCCAAAAGCAACUCUAUGAUCCUAUAAACUUUUUAAGUUGUUCUUUACUUAAAUGAAAAUAUUGACUUAUUGCUUUUUUUCUACACAACUUUCCACUUUGGAAUUUUUAUGUUUAUCUUAUUUUUUUCCUUUUUAAUUAACUUUUUUUAUAUUUCUCUCCAGAAACUGACGACAAUUUGGAACGGUUGUUGUGCAUCUAUUUUCUGUUGCCUCACUUCCGUACUAUUGUAAGUCCUAAUUGAACUCUAUGUAAUUGAAAAGAUGCUUCAUUGUUGUUUACUUUGUUUGCUCUCCUCAAAUUCUACUCCAUAUUCUAUUCAUCUUUCUAUUGGUUGUUAACAAUCUAUUAUACUUCUACUUUUUCUUCUUAUGUAUUCAAUUUUUCCACUCGAUUAAAAAGGUGACAAAAAAAAUAAAGGCACAAAUUUAUUGUUUUUAAAGAAAAUCCUUUGUAGAAUUAGCAGAUUGCAUAUUUCCAUUUGGAAGGCAUUACAAAACUUAAAUUUAGGCUUCCCUUUGAUUUGGCCUCAUUAUUGUUGUCACUUUUCAUCAUCAUCAUUAUUCUCAUUCCAUACUUCUCCAUCAGUAUUUGAUUUUGACAUUAAUGCAGCAUUUAAGAUAAGCUAGAAUCUCUCUUGAUUUCACAUGUCUGCUGCAACCUGCUGCUGCCGUCUUUCGCAAUUGAAGCAUCAAUUUCAUUGCUGGAGGCUCCAAUUAUGUUGGAUCAAGCUCCCCCGCUACUGCUGCAAUUUUGCUGCUGCAGAUUGCAACUGCAGGCUAUUGCUGCUGCUACCUGUAGCAAAGUUUCAAUUUGGUCCUUGAGCUAUCAAUUUUGGUGUUUAAAUUUUUGAACUUUAAAAUAGUUGCACUUUAAUCCUCAAAUUCUUUAGUUUUUCCAUACAAAUCUUUAAACUUUUAAAAUAGCUUCAAUUUAAACAUCUUCUGCCUUUUUAUAUAGUUUUAUAAUAAAUUUUUUUACCAAUAUUCUGAAAAUUCUAAAUCAAGAGGAGUUAUAAACUCUUAAAAGGUAAUUAACCAAAAUUAUUUAAAUAUUAAAUAUGACAACCAUAGGCAAACAAAAGAGUGCAAGUUUUCUUUAAAGAAAAUUUAUGUAUAAUACUUGAACAAUUAAAAAUAGCUAAAUAUGCAGCUAAAGAAGCGGCAGCAACAGUUUGGUAGCAAAUGAAAAAAAACCCAUUAAAUAAAAUUCUAAUCUUUUUUUUUUUUUUAAGGUUUUUACUUAAAAUUGAAUAUACUAGAAGAAGAAGCAGCAUCAUAAUAUACUUCUUCUUCUUUUUUUUUUUUUCUUAGGAUAGUUUGCGAUUAAAAUUUUAAUGCAUACAUAAAGAACGAAUAACAAAUUUAUUAUCAAAGGAAUAAUAAACAAAAAUUAAAGAAGUAGAUGGGAAUAAGAGCCUUUCUUUCAAAUUAUUAUCAAUUGUAGGACAUAUGAACAGCAAAUGCAUGGCACUAAAAAUAAUUUAGACCACUUCCUAUAGUGUUCGAAACUUGAAGCCAUAAACCUUAAAAUAAUAGCUAAAUUAAUUAAGCCCUCAUGGUUUACAUAUUCUGUAGAAACAUGAUAUAAGAUUUCUACUUAUUUUCAAAUUUUUGCCAAAUUUUUGUGGUCGCCAUUUUCUACUUAUUCUCACUAUUGUCUUUCUUCUAUGCUAACUUAAAUGAAAAGAUUGACUUUACUGCUUAUUUUCUUGCAUUGCUUUCAAUUUGGAUAUCCGAAUUGCUUAUUCUGUUUUUUCCUUUUUAAUUAGUUCUAUUAUAUUUCUCUCAGGACAUUAACGACACUUCGGACGGUUGUUCUGUGUCUCUUUGCUGUUGCUUUGCUUCCCGUGCUCCUGUAAGUCCUAAUUCAAUCCCGUGCUUUUAAAACAAUUUAAUGUAUUGACUAUUAGAUAUUUAGUUUUUAUUUAUUUAUUUAUUUUUGCCUACAAUGAGUUCUGUAAACUUGUUCAUAGUAAUUUUUUUGCAUUUAAUCUUACAUUGUCUGUGUCUUGCCAAUUUAUACCAGUAAAAUAAUUUAAGUGUAAAAAGUGCAAUGUGUAUGUAAGGUACCGGACUUAUAAAAUUAUAAAGUUACGGUGUCCAUUUGGUUUGAAAGCUAUUUGAAUGAUUCCGGUGAGGUUGCGGUAGAAUGUAAUAUACCGGAUUUUAAAUAUAAAAAUAAAAAUAAAUAAAAAUAGUGUGAGAUACUAUUUUUAUUGGAUUUAGAAGAGUAAAACAUAAGUCAGAAGUGACUUGUGCUGAAAUCGGAAUGAAAACAGAAGAUCUAGAAUUUUCUGUUGGAAACGGGACAGAUAAAUAGGCAGAAAAUGCACAGUCUCAGAAAAUUAUGAAAAUUGGAGGAUAAGCCAGAAAUAUUUUUAUGAGGCUAGAUUUAAGGUUUCUGAGAGUACGAUUGUGACCCAACCCGAGAAUUUGAUACGGUUUGGGAUCUUGGUUGCUCCUGGUUGGAGUGUGUGCGAAUUCCCAAGUGAGAAUUUCGCCCCAGUUGUGAUUGGGUCUACGCUUGCGAGCGAGAGGCGCUACGCAUAUGUUGAGAUGGGUUUAGGCUGUAGGCCUACGUAGUAUUGGUGGCCUUUGGCUCACCUGUGAAAAACCGAGGAAAGUGAUUUGGCGAGUAGCCUUAUUGGGGAGUUUGACUUGAGUUCACGAACGAUGUGCUCGUGUGAGUCGUUGCGAAAGUGGUAUGAUGUUGACCGUGGCAUAUGGUAUUAGGUAAUGAGGUGCUCUUGGCGAGGCCUUGAGCUAAUGGCCAGCCACGUAGAAGUGGAAUUGGGAUGCGCCGAGGUGGGCCAUCUCACGUCAAAGUUAAGGGCUAGUGCAGAAUUAAAGCACUUAUGAUGAAGCGGUGCACCGGUGAUAUUGCUUUUAGGCAAUGUCGGUGAUUGAUUUGGAAUGCAUUCCCUGAAGGGGAAGUAAAUGCAAGGAAGAGUUCUUGCUUGUCAAGUGGCAAGUGGUGUUGGAGAGCGUAGAGUCAUCGAGUUUCGACUUGCACUACCACAUAGAGUGACGGAGACCGUAAUUUACUUUGUGAGGUGUGCCUUGCAAAGUUGGAUGCAUUUGGUAUCAUGAGCUCCGUAGUAGUCCUUUUGGAUAGUUCCGAUGAGUGAAAGGCCACUCCGAAAUGCAAAAGUGCAUUGGAACCCUCGACUAUUUGAUAAGUUGAGUUGGGGUAUGAAUUGGAAUUGAAGUGAGAUAGUUUCGAGGACGAAACUCUUUUUAAGGAGGGGAGGAUGUAAAGUACCGGACUUCUAAAAUUAUAAAGUUACGGUGUCCAUUUGGUUUGAAAGCUAUUUGAAUGAUUCCGGUGAGGUUGCGGUGGAAUGUAAUAUACCGGAUUUUAAAUAUAAAAAUAAAAAUAAAUAAAAAUAGUGUGAGAUACUAUUUUUAUUGGAUUUAGAAGAGUAAAAUAUAAGUCAGAAGUGACUUGUGCUGAAAUCGGAAUGAAAACAGAAGAUCUAGAAUUUUCUGUUGGAAACGGGACAGAUAAAUAGGCAGAAAAUGCACAGUCUCAGAAAAUUAUGAAAAUUGGAGGAUAAGCCAGAAAUAUUUUUAUGAGGCUAGAUUUAAGAUUUCAUAUUUUUCUGACACCCGUAGAGUGAGAAAUAAAAUCCGAAAGCUAUCUGAUAAAGAUUGCAGUUCGGUACAGUUUUCAGUGACCAAACGGGGUCGAAACUGAACCAGUGAUCGUCAGCUUGUUAAGUUAAGUAAAACCGAACAUGACUGUCAAGUUUGAGCUCAAACGGAGAUUCAGGGAGCUCCGGCGAAAGUUAUCAGAUUUUAAGCUGCCUGGAGGUGAAUAGUGUUGGGGUGUAAUUAAAUAGAAGCAUGAUGCUUCUUCUUCCUCCUUCAGCCGUGCACACCCACACACACCUCACGCACACAUGGAGAGAGGAGAGAAACUCUCCUUUCUCUCUCUAGAGAUCUCUCUCAUUUCUCUAUAUCUCUCGCUCAAAUUCGCGGGGUUGGUGGAGAAUAUGCUUGCGAACGCGUUGGAGGCGACGGAUUGAGCUUUCGUGCGCCCGUUGGAGCGGUGUGUUGUCGUCGCGGCGUUCACAUUGAGGUAAGCUUUUAGGAUUUGGCUUAAUCCUUAGCUUUAAGUAUUCUAAUAGCCUCUAAUGAGCUUUGUUAGCAUGUUGAUCCAUUUAAUUUUGGAUUAUUUUGAGGUUAAUUGCAUAUUAGGGCUCCGAAUGGGGUUUUGUAAAAUAUGAGGGUUUGAUCUAAUUUGACCCUUCGUAAACCUAAUUGCUAGGUAACGAAACGCGUUGGCGAAGACGGUUCGGCAAUCCGACGAGCCGUUACAAAGUUAUUAAAGAAAUGGACGUUUAGGCUUCGGGUCCGCCGGGAGGGCCGAGGCGACAUCGUAAAUUCAUGAAAAUGGAUUUGAAGCAUCGUGGCACAUAACCGAAGACCUUUAAUUUUCGGAUCGUGAAUUGGAGGCCGUUCGGGUGGUCGCGUGAGAGAUCGGGCCAAACCGGGUGCCGGGUGCCGCGGGAGGCCGAUUGCAAGUGUCGACAAGCAAUCGGAAUGCGAAAUGAGGUGGGUUGUGCUUACCGAAGCGACUAGGUCGCCCUUUAUGUUUAAGAAACAUACGAAUUCACAUUGAUGCAUAUAGUUGUAUUGGUAGGCUUACAUGAUAAUAUGAAUGCUUGAAACAUAUUAUGUAGUUGAUAUUACCUACCAAUGAGAUGAAAUGUAUAAUGAAUUAAAUGCUAAAAGAAUGCAUGAGAUGCUAAGUAUAGACUACUUUGGAUGAUGAUUAUAUGUAUGUUGACAUAUCAUGUGAUGCUAGUAAUAUAUGUGCAUGAUGACAUGUUGUGAAUUAACAUAUUGUGGAUUAUGUUAAAUAGAAACAUAUACAUGAUGACAUAUAUUGCAUAUGAUAGAAGAAUUAUACAUGUUGCCAUAUUGUGGAACAUAGUGGAUGAAUUAUGCAUGUUGAACUUGGUCGAUUAGAGAAAUUGACAUUGGAAAACAAGAACACAUCGAGUGGCAUUAAUGUAGUGUAUUUGACACUAGAGGUUUGAGAACCUAGGGAUAGGUGAAUCCCUUAGAAAAUGCCUUGUGGAUAAAGAACUUAGUAAACCUAAGUACCCUCACAUGGAGAGGUUGUCGAUGAGUUAUUGAGACAUUGACUCUAGUUGUAGAGCAUCCUCACUUGGAGAGGAUUUGAUUGGGUCGUUGACUCUAGUUGUAGAGCAUCCUCACUUGGAGAGGAUUUGAUUGGGUUGUGGACCCUAGUUGUAGAGUAUCCUCACUUGGAGAGGAUAGAUCUAGCUCACAGUCUGCGUUUGGGAUGGUAUAGCCAUCCAAUCCCCACAUGGAGGGGAUUGUCGUCGAGUACUCCGGAGUGUCGUGCGACUAGGACCACUUGGAGGUCCGGACCACAUGGAGGUCCGCAGACGGUCCCGGGCUUGGGUGCACUUGGAGCUCCCUCCCCACUUUGGGAUUGAAAGGUGAGUUAUUGGCGAACCCUAGGGCUUCGCUACAGAUUGGGUAAAAGAACAGUGAACAAUGCCAUUGAACAUUAUUAUUCGAACAUGGAUCGAAUUUGUUAGCAUGAUAGUAAACCUUUACUAUUUGAUGCAUGGUAUGAGUUUUAGUUGCAUCCCAGUUGAGUGGAUUUAGGGCCGAGGUGCAUGUGAGACAUCCUUCACCUUGAGCCUGGCUUUGUGCGGUAUUCCGCGUAUGAUUGACUCAAGACCGGGUCGAGUGGAUAGCUUAUGAAAGCAGGUUAAACCUUAUGAGCAGAAUUGUAAUUGACAAGAAUCUAAAAUAGAGGAAAACUUAGAAGUCAAUUAGUGGAACUGUGAAUAACAGGAAUAAAAGUAGUAUCGAUUGAACUACUAGUUAGUUGCAUGGUUGCAUAAACUGCAUGAAUUUCAUAUUGCAUUUUGUGAGGCACAACAUGUAUUUCAAUACUUGAAUAUAUGUAUCUGUUGGAUAUCUGUUGGACUAACAUGUUGCAGGGCCUCCUUAGACCUAUUGGUCGAGCUUUUCCCUUGGGUGGCCGUACCCACUGGGAACCAUGGAGUUGGUUCUCACCCCACGUUGUUUUGGGGUGUUACAGGUUCGCACAUGAGCGGCGCAACGGCGCGAGGCGAGGGCGUAGCUCCAUAGAUAGCGCCCUACCCCAGAGACCAGAGAUAGAGGUACCCCGAGUCGGCAUAGCCUAGGGGUAGAGGGAAAAGAAAAAAAGCAAACUUGUAUUAAUAUUGCGAUCAUUGAUUGUAUUUGGAAGAAAAUAUAAUGUAAUAAUGCUAAUGUGAUGUAAAAAUGAAUCUAAUGAAUGCUUGUAAUAACAUAGGAUGUGUUAUGUUGUUUGAUACCUUCCUUAUGCAAUCUUGCUUGAAUACUGUUCCUGGUUGGAACUUCUUGUACUUGUAUUGAUUGCGACGCCUAGGACGUACAGGGGAGACUCUGUCCGUUCGGCGGUCUGUCGGCGGCGCCGCGACCUCGGCCAAAUAGGCGGGUGGUUGCGGGUCGUGACAGUGUAAUAAAUAAAAAAAUAGGAUCACGAAAAAAAUUAAUUUUAGCUUGAUAUUAUAUUGACAACACCGUUUUUAGUCGAAACUACAUGGAAUAUGGAUCAGAUAAUGGAUUGGUCAUUUUGGAUUCUGUGUUUCAAAGCUUUGAUAUUGUGGUCUUGAGAAGGAGUUGAUAGAUGUGCAUAGUGAGUCUACUCCCCAAUAAACUCGAGCUUAAUACGACAUGAAGAUUACAAUCUCAAUGAGUUUAACAACCAAAUACUUACCAUAAUAUCUUACAAUCUGAAUUUGAUGGAAUGAUUCAUAACCUUUUUUUUUCUCUAUUCUAAAUAAUCUUUUUAUUCCUUUACUCUUUAGGAAAACAUAAGUAAGUGUUUUUUUCCCCUUUUUUGUUCUUUUUUAGCCAAAAAUUUCUUCCAGUGCUAUUACAUUUCUUGGUUCUGAUACUUUAGCUACACAUUUGGAAUUCAACUUAGCCCUUCUAUAAAACUGAAGCCACAAAGAUAUUGUUUUUAAAGAAAUAUAGCAUUUUUGGAGGUUAAAGUGGUCAUUUCAUAGAAGAAAAUGAUACGAAAACUCGCUGUCGUUUUGAAUUCUAUAUUAAGUAAUACUAUAUCCACUAACACUCCUAAAACUUUUUCCACUAAAAAUUACUAGCUGUUUCCUCGCAAAAGUUAAAUAUAUCAACUUAAUAGUUAUAAGUUCGAAGUCUAAUUACUUCAUAUUUCCAACUAAAUUUAUUUCUAAAAUAAAUGAAAAAAAUAUAAAGCAUGCGACCAUUAAUUCUCUUAAAAAAAAAUUAUGGAUAAAUUGACCACAGUUAUCAUACUAAUUUUUAACAAUUAAAUGUUAAAGAUCAUUUCAUUUACCACAAACUGACUUUUGAGGUUAAAAAGACCCCUUUGCGUAUAUUGCUUUGCAGCUUUUUUUUGGUUAUAUUUUUAUUAUCUAUAAAUGAAUGAAAGUUUAGAUAAUUCCGAUGCACUUGACUCGCAUCCUUUUACUUAAUUACCACCUAAUUGUUGUUAACCAAACCCAGCCCAAAAUGAACAAAAGUACCACUACAAGCCCAUUCUUAGCUUAAUGGGCCCACCAAGAUCUGCCCCUAUUUUGUAGUUGAUGCCAUAACCCUAAGAACUGUUCAAUCAUUGAUAUUAUGAGCUUACUAACUUUGCCCACUAGAAAAAGUCUUUUUUUUUUUUUAAAUAGACAUAGUAAGGUAAUAUGUUAUACAUUUUAUUCAAUUUUUUAAAAAUAAAUUUAACAAAAAAUAUAAAACAAUUAGAAUUUAAAUUUAAGAUUUGUGUCUAAUUAAAAUUUUAGGAUUAAAUUUUUUAAUACCCUUCUGCAAAGGAUGUAAUUUUAAUAGAUGCCCUUCCAAAUUGAAAAAUAAUAUUAGUCUCCUUAUAUAUAGAAAAAAAAAAUAGAAUUUAAGCUUGGGAUUUGAAGGAAUAUUAGUCUCCUUAUAUAUAUAAAGAUAUUAGUACUAUUUUAAAUUUUGAAUGGUAUUGUAUUAGGUAGAGUAAAAACGUUUUACUCUAUUUAUUUGUUUAUAGUAAUAAAUAGGCUGCAAUAAUAUUUUUUUUUAUAAUUUUGUCGAAAAAUCAAAAAAACUACAACAUACCUACUAGAUUGCUUAAAGAUUUGACAUCAGAUCAGACAUAAAUCAAAAGAAUUUCAGCAGGCUAAAAAGAAGCAAACACCAGAAAAAAUAAAUGUAACAUAUAGUAGUUAAGGACAAUGGAGAUUAUGAUAUAAAGUUAGGGUUAAACGAGUAGAUAGAAACUGCUUCAAUCAGUUUAAAGUCGAUCAAAUGACAAAUGUUGGAUCUUGGCAUUAAUGUUAUUGAGAGUUGGAGGAACCAUAAGGAAAUAAAAGGUUGAUUCUAGCGAUUACAAAAAUAGUGGGUCAUUCCAUUUCAACUUCGCAAUGAGGUUAAUUUCCAAUUAUUAUAGGAUUGAAAAUAGAAGGUUGAUUCUAGCGGUUACAAAAAAUAAUGGGACAUUCCAUUUCAACUCGGCACUGAUAUUAAUUUCCAAGUAUUAUAGGAUUGAAUUCGGUUUUGAAAGAUUUGUUAAACUGCUUUCCUCUGGAAUGAGACUCAUUUAGGAUGACUUCCACACCAUACUGCAAGUACGGGCAUCGAUUUCUUCCGACUAACGUUUCACGAUCCAAAUCCAUUCAACAACAUUAAAAUUUUCGAUUUAAACACCGAGAUCCAGAACUACCUAGCGCACAUAUCUUAGGUAGUUACUGCUCUCAGGAUUAUAGUAUGGCAUUGUUAUAGUUUCUCUUUUAAGUGAUAGCUUUGUGAAAAGAUGUAUAGAAUGAAAGGUUGAUUGAAGGUCUUACCGUAAUAGAGUGCAAAGGGGUUCCAUUCUACUUCAUAAAAGAAACUCGGAGGGUGGUAAACAAACUACACAACAAUUUAAAGAUUUUUUUGAAAAAAAAGUAGUACAACAUAAAGUAUAAAAAAAAAAACUAAUGUACCAAAGAGUAAUUAAGCCUAAUUUGGUCUUUUAGCUUCUUUAUUUUAAUUUUCAUGAUUUAAAUUUGUAACAUAACACUUGGCUUAAAAGCUCGCAAAACAGAAAAGUUAUCAUUUUCUUCUUUUCAUUAUGAUAAUCUAUUAGGUAUUUUUGAACUUCAUAAUUGAUCUUUCAAAUUUUAUCAACAAUCAUAUUUCAAGUGUAUUCUUAUCUUUGAUAUAAGAAUGAUAGAUCAUAACUACUAGAUUUCAUUCUUCUGUACUUGAUAUCUAUCAUUUUCCUUUGGUUUUAUACUAAGUCCUACUAUUGAGUAGUAUUUUCUUUUUAGAAUAGGUUGAUUUAGUGUCAGAUGGAUUAUGCUACAAUAUAUAGAGAAAGACGAAAAUUUCGAAAGUUUGUUCUUGAUAAUCGCCAAAACAGUCGGGGGAUCUCUGCCACAGUUAAUUCAAAUUACACUGACGAUACUCUGCCUUUGGAUUAUGAGACCUCACUUACUUUGUUCAGCAAACGGAAAAAAAUCUCAAAAAGCAACAAUUUAACAGUUGGUGAUCUUCAUGCAUAACAUGAAUCUAUUGGCAGUUUAAAACGGAAAAGAAUCUCAAAAAGCAGCAAUUUAACAGUUGGUGAUCUUGGUGCACAACAUGAAUCUAUUGGCAGUUCAUCUCAAAGUACAAUUCAUAGAGGGCAAGACAUAGAACAAUCAAACCUUGGAAUGCAAGAAUAUGAGUGUCAAUCAUGUGGGGCUGUACUUUGGUACGACGAAAGAAUCAAAUCUUGCAACGAAAAUACUCUUCGCUUUUCAAUUUGCUGUUCCGACGACAAAGUUGUCAUACCGCUUUUGCCUCAAACACCUGAAAUAUUAGACCAUUUAUUGGACUACAAUGGUAGUAGUGAAUCAACGAAAUUUAGAGAAAAUAUUCGUGUCUACAAUUCUAUGUUUGCAUUUACAUCGAUUGGGGCAAAAAUUGAUAAUGAAAUUAAUAGAAAACCUGGCCCUUACGUAUUCAGAAUAUCCGGGCAAAAUCACCACAGAGUGGGUUCUUUACUUCCUGUUGAUGGAGAACGUCCGAAAUUUGCCCAAUUAUACAUUUAUGACACAGAAAAUGAAAUCGAUAAUAGAAUAAGAUUAUUUAAUGCAUCUGAUGAAUUGCAAAAUAUUGAUAGAAUUAUUGUUGGCCAACUUGUAGAACGCAGCGAAAGUUUUCGGUUCGUACCUUUUUGCGGAAGCGAUUCGAGCCAGAUCGGAUUGAUUGAUUUACGUGUCCUUGAAUCUUCCUUGAAAAUCUUCUAACUCUCCGAACUCGCGGUGGAUCGAACUACAAACGAGCGCGAUCGCAAAUCCACCGUGCAAGUCCUUCUAGAAUAAUAGGUCAAUGGAGGAUGUGGUUUCUCUCUUUUUUCGUUCUUUCCGUAUAUUCCGUUAUGUNAAAAAAAAAAAAAAAUUCAGACGCUUUUCCGCUAUCUUCUAAACUCAAAGGGACCCCGGGGCGUGACAGAGGAUCACCUCCUAAAGUACCAAGUGCAUAAUUUGCAGCAACCCAAGCAUAGAUUCCUUCAUCAUAACCUGUUUCCAUCUCAGCACAUUUCAGAAAAAAAUCCUAAAGACAAAUUCUACUGAACUGAAUGUUGCUGUGUGGAGAUAUAGAUAUGACUACACAUAGAUUUAUUGUAAGAACCUUUCUUUAAGUUCUUUAACUUCCUUGCAUAAUUCUAUCAUGUUCUGGUUCUUUGUCUGCCAUAGACCUCGCACCUGUUUUCAAGAGACAUUUAGUAAAUAUCAUAGACAAAAGCUCUUAAUAGCAUCACAGUUGAUAAAUUCACAUGUAUAUAAGGAAAGAAGAAAAGAAUGUGCCAUAAUGGUAUUAGAUAUAAAUGAUGAUAAGGGUCCGAUAGGUAUGCAGUGGGUUUUUCUUUGUUUAAUUGUGUUAUUUUGAUAGUUCCUUUUCAUUGUGAAAUUUUUUAAGUCCAAAUGUGUUACUUGAGUAGUAGCGUUAUUGAAUCCGAGGAUGCUCCACAGAGGAAAUUAGUCAAUAAUGUAGUUAUGUCCAGGGGUUAUUUUGAUAGUUCCCUUUCAUUGUGAACUUUUUACGUCCAAAUGUGUUACUUGAGUAGUAGUGUUAUUGAAUCCGAGGAUGCUCCGCAGGGGAAAUUAGUCAAUAAUGUAGUUAUGUCCAGGGGUGAAUCAUACAAAAUUUUUGGAGAGGCACAGUGAUUAAUUUGAUAAUAUUCUUCCUUUUUGUUCAGUUACAGAGGGCCAAAAUAUCACAAUUAUAUUUACUGCAGCUAUUAAUUACACUAACUGUAUAGUAGGGGGAUAACAGAAAACAUUAUAUGCUUCAUUUUGUGUUUUUCGUACAUCUGCAAUCAUUUGAAAAGGUUGUAGGGAUGAUUAAUCAAAACAUUACCAAGUCAUAGUUGAUGGAACUAUAUCAUCAUAUCUUUUCUUUUUAAGAAAGUAGAACUUUUUUUAAAAAAAAUAGUUUUACUUUUUAAUGAUAGAGGGAGGGGUAUUGCAAAUAUCAGGAGUUUAAAAUUUGGGAACAUCCUCCCUGUAUGCAAGGUUCAAACCUUUUAUAUUCAACUUUCCCAUAAGCCUACUAAUAGGAUCCUUGCACACUGCUGGUUUGGAUCUUCACAACUCCUCCAAUUAAGCUCCCUUCUCCCAAAUACUCUGCUGCCAGCCAGCAGAGAAAUGAGGGUAAUUGGAGAAAUUAGACGAAAUUUGUUGCGAGGAUGGAGUUCCUAGGUGGAGAAGAAUUAAGUUAGAGUUCCACCAACACUCCAACUCAAGAAAGUGGAAACCAAGUAAUCCACAAUUACAUCAAUUAUCACAAUACUCUCAACAUACCGAAAUUUCAGCAAAGAUAUCAAAUGUACACAUAGCAGCUGUUAUCUAGAGCCUUUUGCCACACAGCAAUGUCACCCUUUUUAUUGUAUAGUUUGAAGCACAGGAUUGCAAGCAAUUUCUCUAAUUUGUGAAAACCUUCUUUUGCAUUAGUUUCUGCUUCCUUUUCUUUUAUUUCUUUUUCGUUUCUAAAAUUUUUCUACAGUUCAAACAAAUUCCUUACACAACUUACUCUUUAACCGUCAUCGUACAGUGAUCAGGCAAUUUGAUCUAUAUCUAUCUAUACCUUAUCAUUACCUCAUGAACUAUAAACCUCUCUAAACUUCAAUCUUAUUUUUUCAUAAUAUACUAUAAUGUAAACUACUCUCCAGUUUGGAAUUUGAACUGCUUAUCUUAUUGUUUCCUUUUUAAUUAACUCUUUUUAUAUUUCUCUACAGAAACUGACGAUGAUUUGAAACAGUUGUUGUCGAUCUAUUUGCUGUUGCCUCACUUCCGUACUACUGUAAGUCCUAAUUCAACUCUAUGUUAUUGAAAAGAUUUAAUAUACUGCCUAUUAUUGCUCUUCUUUUGCUUCGGAGUUAUUCAUAGAAAUUAUUUUUUCUACAAGAAUUUUUCUAAACAUGUCAGCUUUGUGAUUGGUCAUAAUGGUAUAGGCGGUUUUGGUGAGCUUAAUAAAUAUGUGAUAAUUUUGUCUUAGGAAUAACAGGAAAAAGAAAUUAAAAUCUUACAAAAAUCAGGAAUCCAGAAAUUAGUUCAAGAUAAUUUCUUACAUGAAAUAUUAAAAUUUGAGCUUGGGGACAUUGCAUAGCACACUGAUAUCUUGGUCUUGGAACACAACACAAACAUGGAAACAACCAGUUCAUGAAAAAGUGAUUGAAUGUUAGAACUAACUCAAAAUACUUCUACUCAGACCCCAUCCUGGUGUUAAGUAUUAAUUUGAACAUCCAGGUGGAGUCAAGUGGUUGAAUUAAUGGGAGAACAAAAUGCAGGUUUAGUUACUAUAGACAGAGUUUGUUAAAUUUGAAUUCUGCAGAUUGCAGAACAUUCGAAAAUGAUUGCAAACUAUCUAUAGAGAAAUCGGGUCUUGAUAUUUGCUUAUAGUGAAACACAUUUUUAUCACACGAAAUUUAACACAAGGUUUAAACCUCUUGGUUAGCCACAAACACAACAAACUACAACUGUUUUUCCUAUGAUUGCAAAUUAUCUAUAGAGAAAUCGGGUCUUGAUAUUUGCUUAACACAAGGUUUAAACCUCUUAGUUAGCCACAAACACAACAAACUUCAAAUUUUUCCUACUUAACUCUUUUGCAUCGGAAUGGAAUCUAGGUUGACGAAAAUCAAGCCCUUUGCGUCAAAGUUAUAUGAUCUGGAGCACUGAGAUGCCUAAACUACUUGACCACUUUCGGAUUUUGACACCCUAAUUAACUUAUAAUUUUUAUAUACAAAAAUUCUUAAAAAGCUGCUCCACAGCUCCAAAGAUGUAUAGGUCAGAACUACAACGUACCUACUAGCUUGCUUAAAGAUUUGACAUCAGAUCUGAUAGAAAUCAAAAAGAAUUUCAGCAGCCUAAAAAGAAGCAAACACCAGGAAAGAUAAAUGUAACAUAUAGUAGUUAAGGACGACGGAGAUUAUGAUAUAAAGUUAGGGUUAAACAAGUAGAUAGAAAUUGCUUCAAUCGGUUUAAAGUCGAUCAAAUGACAAAAAAAUUAAACACGUACGUAGGACAGUAAAAUGCCUUUACUAUGCUUUAACAUAACAACAACAUACUAGCAUCUAAAACAGCAAUAGAAAGAAAGUAGUCACAAGAAGUGUUGGAUCUUGGCAUUAAUGUUAUUGAGAGGUAGAGGAACCAUAACGAAAUAGGAGGUUUAUUCUAGCGAUUACAAAAAACAAUGGGUCAUUCCAUUUCAACUUGGCACAGGUUAAUUUCCAAUUAUUAUAGGAUUGAAAAUAGAAGUCACUGAUGUUAAUUUCCAAGUAUUAUAGGAUUUAAUUCAGUUUUGAAAGAUUUGUUAAACUACUUUCCUCUGGAAUGAGACUCAUUUAGGAUGACUUCCACACCAGACUGCAAGUACGGGCAUCGAUUUCUUUAGACUACCGUUUCACGAUCCAAAUCCAUUCAACAACAUUAAAUUUGUCGAUUUAAACACCGAGAUCCGGAACUACCUAUCGCACAUAUCUUAGGUAGUUACUGCUCUCAGAAUUAUAGUAUGGCAUUGUUAUAGUUUCUGUUUAAGUGAUAGCUUUGUGAAAAGAUGUAUAUAAUUAUUAUAGUUUCUGGACAAUAAAGUCAGUAGAAUCAAUAGGAAAAGACAAUGACAAUAAAUAUGUCAAACAGUGAAUGAAUAUCUUGAUUUUGAAAUUCCUUUAGCCAUAACUUGAAAUUCCUUUAGCCAUGACUUGAAAUUCUUUCACAAUUUCUAAAAGCAAUAGAAUGAAAGGUUGAUUGAAGUUCUUACCGUAAUAGAGUGCAAAGGGGUUCCAUUCUAGUUCAUAAAAGAAACUUAGCUUUGUGAAAAGAUGUAUAUAAUUGUUAUAGUUUCUGGACAAUAAAAUCAGUAGAAUCAAUAGGAAAAGACAAUGACAAUAAAUAUGUCAAACAGUGAAUGAAUAUCUUGAUUUUGAAAUUCCUUUAGCCAUAACUUGAAAUUCCUUUAGCCAUGACUUGAAAUUCUUUCACAAUUUCUAGAAGCAAUAGAAUGAAAGGUUGAUUGAAGUUCUUACCGUAAUAGAGUGCAAAGGGGUUCCAUUCUACUUCAUAAAAGAAACUCGGAGGGUGGUAAACAAACUACACAACAAUUUAAAGAUGUUUUUGAAAAAAAAUUAGUACAACAUAAAGUCUAAAAAAAAAUAAUGUACCAAAACAUAAUGAAGCCUAAUUUGGUCUUUUAGCUUCUUGAUUUUAAUUUUCAUGAUUUCAAUUUGUAACAUACCACUUGGAUUAAAAGCUCGCAAAACAUAAAAGUUAUCAUUUUCUUCUUUUCAUUAUGAUAAUCUAUUAGGUAUUUUUCAACUUCAUAAUUGAUCUUUCAGAUUUUAUCAACAAUUAUAUUUCAAGCGUAUUCUUAUCUUUGAUGUAAGAAUGAUAGAUCAUAACUACUAGAUUUCAUUCUUCUAUACUUGAUAUCUAUCAUUUUCCUUUGGUUUUAUACUAAGUCCUACUAUUGAGUAGUAAUUUUGUUUUAGAAUUGGUUGAUUUAGUGUCAGAUGGAUUAUGCUACAAUAUCUAGAGAAAGAUGAAAAUUCCGAAAGUUUGUUCUUGAUAAUCGCCGAAACAGUCGGGGGUUCUCUGCCACAGUUAAUUCAAAUUACAAUGAUGAUACUCUGCCUUCGGAUUAUGAGACCUCACUUACUUUGUUCAGAAAACGGAAAAGAAUCUCAAAAGCAGCAAUUUAACAGUUGGUGAUCUUGAUGUACAGCAUGAAUCUAUUGGCAGUUCAUCUCAAACUACAAUUCAUAGAGGGCAAGACAUAGAACAAUCAUACCUUGGAAUGCAAGAAUAUGAGUGUCAAUCAUGUGGGGCUCUACUUUGGUAUGACGAAAGAAUCAAAUCUUGCAACGAAAAUACUCUUCGCUUUUCAAUUUGUUGUUCCGACGGCAAAGUUGUCAUACCGCUUUUGCCGCAAACACCUGAAAUAUUAGACCAUUUAUUGGACUACAAUGGUAGUAGUGAAUCAACGAAAUUUCGAGAAAAUAUUCGUGUCUACAAUUCUAUGUUUGCAUUUACAUCGAUUGGGGCAAAAAUUGAUAAUGAAAUUAAUAGAAAACCUGGCCCUUACGUAUUCAGAAUAUCCGGGCAAAAUCACCACAGAAUGGGUUCUUUACUUCCUGUUGAUGGAGAACGUCCGAAAUUUGCCCAAUUAUACAUUUAUGACACGGAAAAUGAAAUCGAUAAUAGAAUGAGAUCAUUUAAUGCAUCUGAUGAAUUGCAAAAUAUUGAUAGAAAUAUUGUUGGGCAACUAAUAGAAAUGUUCGAUCAUAAAAAUGAGAUAGUAAAAUCAUUUAGAAUGGCGAGGGACCGAUUCAAAGAAGAUGAUUUUUUGCCUAUCCGCUUGAGGUUGAUUGGCAGUCGUGCAGACAGGUCUCAGUAUAAUCCUCCUUCAUGUUCCGAGAUUGCUGGUUUAAUAAUUGGUGAUUUUGGUCAUGCAGAUCGUCAACGAGAUAUUGUGGUUGACCAUAAGAUGGAAGGACUUAAACGUAUUAGUGAUUUGCAUCCUUCAUUCAUGGCAAUGCAAUAUCCUAUAUUGUUUCCAUAUGGAGAAGAUGGUUUUAGGCUAGGCAUGAAAUAUAACAGUGGUUCACACAGGAAAAUUGGUUCUAGGAAAUGUAUUACAAUGCGUGAAUUUUAUGCAUACAGAAUACAAAAUAGAAUAUUUGAGGGAAAAACACUAAUAAGAGGAGGUAGACUUUUUCAACAAUAUUUGGUUGAUGCAUUUUCCUGCAUCGAAGAAGAUCGUCUCGAUUAUAUUAGGAGAAACCAGGCAAAUUUGCGCACGGAGGUUUAUAGUGGAAUUAAAGAUGCUGUUGUUGCAGGCGAUGUUGAUGGUAACGCAAUUGGUAAAAAAACAAUUCUACCGGCGAGUUUCACUGCCGGUCCCCGUUACAUGAUUCAAAACUAUCAGGAUGCUAUUGCCAUCUGUAGACAUUGUGGACAUCCGGAUUUGUUCAUCACAUUUACCUGUAAUGCACAAUGGCCUGAAAUACAAAAUGCCUUACAAUUUAUUCCCGGUCAAAAAGCAGAAGAUCGUCCGGAUAUAGUAAGCAGGGUUUUCAAGAUGAAAGUUAACGCAUUAAUGGCAGAUAUUAAAAAAGGAAACUAUUUUGGGAGAACUAUAGCUGGUACACUUCUAUUUUAUAUAUUUUUUGUUCUUUACUAAAAAAAUUCCUUCUUUAUUUGCUUCUUACCGUUCUUCUUUUUUUCACCAUGUAGAUUUGUAUACAAUUGAAUUUCAAAAAAGAGGUCUCCCUCAUGUGCAUAUCUUAGUUUGGUUACAUCCAGAUCAUAAGUUGCCAACAACUACGGACAUAGAUUCAAUUAUUUUUGCCGAAAUACCAGAUAAAGAUAUUGAUCCAAUUGGAUAUGCCACUGUUUCAAAAUUUAUGAUACAUGGACCGUGUGGCUCUGCAAAUUCUAAAGCACCGUGUAUGGUUAAAGGUCGAUGCUCAAAACAUUUUCCAAAAGAAUUCAGAAAUGAAACAACUGUGGAUGAUAGCGGAUUCGCUAUUUAUAGAAGAAGAAACAAUGAAAGGUUCGUCACAAAAAAGGGCAUUAAUCUUGACAACAGAUAUGUUGUGCCGCACAACUUGACGUUAGUAGUUAAAUAUCAAGCUCAUAUUAAUGUUGAGUGGUGCAACAAAUCAAGAUUAAUAAAAUAUUUAUUUAAGUACAUCAAUAAGGGUUCAGAUAGAACAAGGGCUGUAAUAGAGGACAACUAUUUGUGCAACAAUGGUUGUCGUGAUGUACAAUAUAAGCAGAUUGACGAGAUUAAAAGAUACUUGGAUUGUAGAUAUUUAUCGGCGUAUGAAGCUGUUUGGAGAUUAUAUCAAUUUGAUAUACACUCUAGAGAACCUACAGUUGAACGAUUGACUUUACAUUUGCCGCUGAUGAAUAAUGUGACAUAUCAUGAAAGUCAAAACUUAGUUGAUGUUCUAGAUCGAUGCAAUGUCGAGAAAACAAUGUUUACUGAGUGGAUGGAAACAAAUGCAAAUUAUGAUGAUGCCCGCGAACUAACUUACGCAGAAUUUCCAACAAAAUGGGUUUGGCAUUCAACUGACAAAAUAUGGACAAGACGUAAAAAAGGAAAUCGAAUUGGAAGAAUUAUUUAUAUUCAUCCAAAUGCCGGUGAGCUUUAUUUUUUAAGAAUGCUACUGAAUAAGGUUAAAGGGCCGAGAAAUUAUAUUGAAAUUAGAACUGUUGACAAUAUUGUGUAUGAAACAUACCGCGCUGCAUGUGAUGCACUUGGAUUGCUGGGUAAUGACAUAGAAUGGCGCGAAGCAAUAGAGGAAGCAUCUCAUUGGUCUUCUCCUGCUGAUUUGAGACAACUUUUUGUUACUUUGGUUAUGUUUUGUGAGGUAGCUGAUCCUGUAAAAUUGUGGAAUGAUUUUUGGAAACUCUUUGCGGACGAUAUUUUAUAUAGAUUAAAGGAAGUAUUGGAAGUUCGUGAACUGCGAAUACCAGAAUUACAGUUACAAAAUUACAUUUUAUUUGAGCUAGAAGUGUUGUUCAAUAAAAGUUGCAGCUCCCUCUCUCAGUUCAAUCUACCAAUUCUUGAUAGAUUGAUUUUGGAAGAUAUGAGUAACAAGUUGUUGAGAGAAGAAUUAGAUUAUGAUGCGGAUGCUUUAAAAUGUGAACAUACAAGGUUAUUUAGCGAAUUGAAUGAUGAGCAGAAGAGUAUAUAUAACUAUGUUUUGACUUCUAUUUAUGAAGAUANUUCAAUCUACCAAUUCCUGAUAGAUUGAUUUUGGAAGAUAUGAGUAACAAGUUGUUGAGAGAAGAAUUAGAUUAUGAUGCAGUACAAGGUUAUUUAGCGAAUUGAAUGAUGAGCAGAAGAGUAUAUAUAACUAUGUUUUGACUUCCAUUUAUGAAGAUAAAGGAGAUGCGAUUUUCGUAUAUGGUUAUGGUGGAACAGGAAAAACUUAUUUAUGGCAGACAAAAUCUCAAAACUUCGUUCAGAAGGGAAAAUAGUUUUGGCUGUUGCAUCAUCUGGAAUUGCUUCGUUUCUACUUCCUGGUGGGAGAACGGCUCAUUCUAGAUUCAAGAUACCUAUAAAAGUAGAUGAGUUCUCAACAUGUGAAAUUAAAAAAGGAACUCAACUCGCAAAAUUACUUGAUCGCACUAGCUUAAUUAUAUGGGAUGAAGCACCGAUGAACCAUAGAAAUUGUUUUGAAGCUUUAGAUAAAUCAUUAAGAGAUAUUUUACAAACAGAUACUGGAGAUGUUCAACAAAAGUUAUUUGGCGGCAAAACUAUUGUAUUCGGAGGGGAUUUUCGUCAAAUACUUCCUGUUAUUAUUGGCGGCACGAGACAGGAUAUAGUUAAUGCAGCAAUCACUAGGUCAUAUAUUUGGGAUAGUUGUAGAGUCUUUCAACUAUCAACAAAUAUGAGAUUGCUUAAAUGCUCAGAGAAUGAGAUGUCAAAAAAGGAAUUGGCGGACUUCGCAAAAUGGAUUCUAGAUUUGGGUAAUGGAAAAUUAGAUGCCAUCAAAUUAGACAAUGAAGAAGAGGCUACUUGGAUCAAGAUACCAGAUGAUUUGCUCAUAAAAAGUAGUGGAGAUGGUAUUAAAGAUAUUGUUUCUACAGUAUAUGAUGACCUUCAAGGAAAUUACAAAAAUAUCACGUACUUAAGAGAUAGAGCUAUUAUCACACCAAUGAAUGAAACAGUUGAUGAAAUAAAUAAUUAUGUCUUAUCUUUAUUGCCGAAUGAAGAGAAAGUAUACAUGAGUUCCGAUUCAAUUUGUAGCUCCUCAAAAAAUGCUGAUGACAAUGAUGUUCUCUAUCCAGUUGAAUUCUUAAAUUCUAUAAAGGUUAAUGGUGUGCCUCACCAUGAACUAAAAUUGAAAAUAGGAAGUCCGAUAAUGUUGCUACGUAAUAUUAGCCAAGGUUCUGGACUGUGUAAUGGAACUCGCUUAAUUGUUACUCAAUUGGCUUCGAAAGUUAUUAAGGCACAGAUAUUCACUGGAAAUCAUGCAGGUGAAAAAGUGUCACGCCCCGGGGCCGAUUUUCAAAGCCAUUUUGAAAAUUCAUUACCAUUUUGAAAACUCAGAGUCGCGGAAGAUGUACUUUUUUUUUUCUUUUUUUUUUCAACCUGGCCCACGUGACGUACAGACCCGCCACAAAUACAAAGUUCCUCUGUCCACUCGGACAGAGUCUCCUUUGUAUUUGCACGGCGUACCAACGAUACAACAGGAUCACAACCACAACCUACAAUUACCAAUCAACAACCAAAAUGAUAUGCAUUCUCAUACAGCUAACAAUCCUUAGAGAUGAUGCAUGCCUCUAAGCACUCCUUAGGCGUUGGAUGAUGCAAUGCACAGUACAACAAUCAUCCUAUUUAAAAGUGCUCCCCACACGGAAGCUUUUGUUUUUAAACUCUAAUUCAUUCAUUCAUGAAAACCAUUCGAAAACCUUUUUAAAACUGUUUCCCACACGGAAACUCUAUUUUGAAAACCAGCUACCUCGAGGGGUAGAAAUCCACAAAGCGUAUAAAUCCAAUCUGAAACUAAGGAUCCAAAACCACGUAUCUGAAAACUCCAAUCUCAUGCAUACGAGGAAAACCAACUCAUUCAAACAAUCAUAAGAUCAUCUAAUCAUGCAUAACGGAAAUCACAACAUUCAAACAUCUAACUGAACCAUUUAUUUAAAUGACUACUAAAGGCAGGAAAGAAAUACAACCAGGGUGGCGAUCGCUAUACCAGACUAGCUAGAUCGUCCUCUNACGAAAAUUACUGAAACAACGGAUGAUGUUGAAUCAAUUCCAUCUCAUUGCUUUCAUUUUUCGAGUUUUGAUUAUAUUAAAGGUAAAAGAAACAAUGACUCCUGCCUUUUAGGUAACACCAUUUUCUUCUUCCUUUUAAUUCUUUCAUUUUAUUAAAGCAACACAAUAUACUUAUUCUGCAAUAACAUUCUGUUAACCCUCAUGUUGAUUAGAUGUGCUGGGAAGUAUUGCUACUAUUUGUCCUAUUUCUUAUACAUAUGUUGGUCAUGAGCUUACUCCAAUAAGAAAUAUGGAGAUAAAAGAUUUAGAGUAAGUUGAAUACUAUUUUAGCAUCUAAUUGUGUAACUUUAAUUCUUACCAUAUGUGAAACAAUUUAACUUAAAUAGUGAAAACAUUGUAGGGAUAAUACUUUUCCAGUGACUUUAUGGGACAAAUUUGCUAUGGAAUUUGAUGAAAAUAUAAUUUACGAAAAAGAAGCUGCUGGACCGGUUGUAGCUGCUGGACCGGUUGUAAUUAUCUUCGCAAGUAUGAGCGUGCGAAUGUAUAAAGGUUUGUCCAAUGUUUGCUUAUCUUAUAAUUGUUUGCAUUUAUUUCCAUCGCUAUUUAUGGUUCUUACACUUAUAUUUUACAUCUAUAUCCAGAGAAGCUAUAUCUGUCGACAUGUUCAGCAUCAAGGUUUUACAUUAAUUUGGACAUACCAGAAGUUACAACAUUUCGAAAUGCAUUGGAUAGGUAAGUAUCAUUAUCUGUAUAGUUUAUUCGAGUAUUUUUCAUAACUUACUUUUAUAGAUACUUUAAUGCAGAAGCCAACUACCUAUUGCACCAAUUAAACAUAUUGAAGCGGCACAACAACUAACUAUUAGCCCAUAUGAACAAAUGCUUAAGAAUCGUAAAACUGUUGCUGAAUUACUUGCAUUAAAUCCAAUGGAAGCUGAGGUAAAUAUAUUUAGAAUAUCUUUAAAUUGCCAAUUUUAUUCUUUCUCUUAUAUUCUCUACAAAUUGCUAUAUAUAUUAUUAAUUCAACAUAUAAUUGAAUAGAUGUAAUCUGUCAAGCUAAAUUAGUAGAAAUUGAUACGAUAUAUGGGUGGUGGUACAAGGCCUGCUAUGAUUGUAAAGGAGGAGUAAAAGAUUAUGAUGAUACUUUUUGGUGUAAUCAAUGUGGAAAAAAUGAUCAGUCACCUGUACCAUGGUACAUUUCUAAACCCAAAUACUACAAUUUCAAACAUGAAAUAUUCCUUUUUAAUUCGAAAAUUAUAUUAUCAUGUACUAAAUUAAUAUAGAGAUCAUUUUGAAAAAAAGGUACAAGUUAAAUGCCAUUGUUGCGGAUGAGACCAGUUCAGCGAACUUCACUAUUUUUGGCAAAACGGCGCAAGAUUUGAUACGAGUCCCUGCUCAACAACUUGCUACUGCAAUCAAUUCAAAUAGAUUUAUACUACCUCCUAUUAUUAAAAAUAUUGUUGGUCAAACUUUUAUUUUUCAAAUUUCGCUUGAGUCACGCAAAUUUAAUACAACUAUGCAAUCAUUCAAAGUCACAAAAAUUUUUCAAUCUGCUUUGACUGCAAAAAUCAAAAUAGAAGAAAAGGAAGAAGAUAUCAUAGACAUUACAGAAGAUGGUGCAGGGACAAGUCCUAAAGAAUUGCAAAUAGCGUAAGAAAAUAUCUCUAAUAUCUUUUUUCCUUUACGUACUUUCUUAAGUGUUUUACUCAAAAAAUUGAUUUAUUUCAAUUCUUUUGCAUGUAAUUUUUUUUUUCUUAUUGUGAUGUGAAGUUCAAAAUCCUAUCUGGAGGAAGCUGUGAAGGAAUCAAGAGGCAAAAGGAGAGUACUUAGGUAAUUCAUUGAUGACUAUAUAUUAAAUUAUAAAAAGUACAUAUAUUUGAGCAUUAUACCAAAAAUAAUAUUUAUUGACUUUCUUUUCUACGUGCAUUUCUGUAAAUUAUCCUUAUAAAAAGUUCUCAGCUGAAGUCAGAGGAAGCUAUUAAUCAAUCAAAGGGAAAAAGAAAAUUACGCAGGUAACAAUUAUAUUAAUAUUGUUUUGGAAAAGUGGUCAAUGCUUAUUUUAUUUUUCAAUUGAAAUGAACAUAAAAUAACUGGCAUUUGUUUUCUGUUUUGUAGUUACAUUGAGAGUUCUGAAUCUGAUGGAGAAGAAAAAUGAAGUCACAACAACUAUUUUCUAAGUGAUGUUGAAUUUGUAGGUGCAACUUAUUUUCUACUCAAAUGCUAAACAUUUUGCAUAUACGGAUCCAAUCGUCUUUUUCCUCCUCUUUUCUAAGUCCCCUCAAAAUUAAUGCCAAGAUCCAACACUUCUUGUGACCACUUCCUUUCUAUUGUUGUUUGCUGUAAUUUGUGCAAGAAAAUUUGUACUUUUGCUUUCUGGGUUUGCAGUCUAUUUUGAGUUAAUUGAAAGUUAAUGUUGUCUAUUUCAAAAAUCUAUUUGGCAAAGUAAUUGGUGUUUCUAUUUUUAUUUAUUGUUCUGUUUUCUUUCUCUAUCUGUCUUUAUGCUAGAAUAAAUAGAUAUUUUGAAGAUCAUUAGAAAAUGCUUUGAUUAUUUUAUAGGUUGUGUCAUGCUAUGAAGAUACUUCUUUUCUGAGAGGAAUUGGGGGAAGCGUCAAUCUUGAUGGUUGGCUCUUGGAAUAUUCUUCCAGAUUAUUAUUUUCUCUUGAUGGUCUACUUCUUAUGUUAUUGCCCUAUUCUUUUUGUAGCAUCAAAAUAUUUCCUUCGUUUUUUCUAAUUUCCCAUUCGAUUGGUAGUUUUUCCUUCUAUUUCAUUUAUUUAAGGAAUGGAAUGGUAGGCUGUGAAGUAUGCACAAUAAAAUAUUAAUUUGAAUUGCUUUCUUCUUCUUUUUUUCUUUUUUUUUUUUAAUGUUUGAUUUGAGAGAUUGACGAUAUGGAACGUUCCAUGGACAAUCCGAGUCGAUCCGGUAAACUGCUAGGAAGGUUUAUCCUAUCUUUAUAUAAUAGUAAAUAUAGUAAUUGGCUGGGCUACUUUCCCCAGGAAGGGAAGCAGAAUGGGAUUCAUGCAUCGAAGCAUUAUUGGGGAUUUUCGAACUAAUGCUGCAUCUGAUCUGCUAAUAGAAUCUGAUAUUAUAUCUGUUCCUCGAACAGGUGAAUCAUAAAUUUUAUUAUUUAUAAAUUUUUUACUUUAGCAGUAACUACCCGCCGCAUCGCGCGGGUACCUACACUAGUGAGAUCUAGUUCAGAUUGCCUCGGCUAGCAGCUAAACUUUCAGGGUUGUAGCUUUUGUUUCACCUUCGUGCCUCGCGAGGCACGAAGGCUUUCGUGGGGUCUGCGUGAGUAUAUAUAUAUAUAUAUAUAUAUAUAUAUAGAGAGAGAGAGAGAGAGAGAGAGAGAGAGAGUACAAGUGUGUGGGGGGCGUUAUCUAGUGGUCACCUUUUUCCAUCUCAUCUUUUUUAUUCUUUUUGCAUUAAAAUGUGAGGGGAGGGGGUUAGUUUGCUUGCAAACAAAACAAACUCGUGAGCCGAAAAAGAACCUGAUCCACGCCCCUUUCCUUCGAGGUGGAGAAAUCAACUACCACUUCCCAGACGGAGAGAGAGAGAGAGGUUUCCAUACUCUUCGUCUUUUUCUUUUUUUUUUUCUUAUCUUACACUUUACAACAAAAUACAAUAACCAAGUUUAACACUCUUGUUAAUACCGACCGUCCCUAGUACAAAUGGUAAAAGACUUAUGGUUAAUAUUCGAGAUCUCAAGUUCGAAUUUUAUCCAUCGGCUCGGUGAUUGGUAUUUGAGAUUCGAAGUUUGANUAGGGCUAGAAUACUUUUACAAGUAUCACCCAAGUGAUACUUGUGUGUUUUUAGCCCUUGGAUGGAGAGAUGUGAGGUUGAGAUGAUGGUGGUAGGUGGUGGUAGGUGGAAUAGUAUUUGAUCCAAGGGCUAUGUGUAAUCAAAAAGUAAAUCCAAUGGCUAAAAACGUGAUAGCAACAUGGGGAUGAUACUUGUAAAAGUAUCCUAGAUCAACUCUAUAAAUAUAUAUAUAUAUAUAUAUAUAUAUAUAUAUAUAUAUAUAUAUAUGAGUCCGGCUAGGGUACUAUCGAUAGCACUAAGGAUUUGGUGCUAUCGAGUUUUUCACUGUUAAAUUUAACCCUUUGAGUAUUUUUACCCGUUAGAGUAUACUAUUUAACCAACCACUUACUCAACCCUAGAGGGCCCACAUCAUCAUAACCGCACAUUUCUCAAUCCAGGGGCUAAAAAAUUAAUAGCACCAAUAACUUGGUACUAUUGAUAGUAUUCCAACCUAGUUCUCACUCUCUAUAUAUAUAAUGCAUCAAAAUUAAAAAUAUAAAAUUGAAUUUGCGCUUUUGAGGCGAGUAAAGCCAAAGAGGUUUACGAGUGCUUUUUGGAAAAGCUCCUUUAAUUAAGCAAAAUAAGCCGUGAUCAAGCAGUGAGCUCUCCCUUAAUUAAAUGUGUUUGCAGUGGAAGAGGCCAUGAAUAGUCGAUAUCCCUGUAACCCUAUUGCAAGACCCAAACAAUGAGCCUCCACAGUGACCUCAACAAGAAAACAAAAACCCCUAAUAAAUGCUCGUGAUGCUUUUGAGCUUUCCAACGAAUCAUCAUCUGUUGAAACAUCACAUUCCAUCUCUCCAUCAGUCAAACAGGGACUUAAAUACUCGCCCAUCAAAUAAUAUAAAUAAAUAAUAAAUAAAUAUAUAUAUAUAAAGGACUUAGGUUUUUUCACUUCUUAACUUUUGGAUCAAGGACAGUAUAAUUAGAAUGAUAGUAGACCCCUAUAUAAGGUUGAGUUAAUAAUUUGAAACAACCAACUCUUUUAUAUUUUCGAAAAAAUCAUAGUAGAAUAUAUAUAUAUAUAUAUAUAUAUAUAUGUAUAUAGGCCAAUUUGCAUAAAAAAUCCACUUAUUUUGGGAUUUUGCAAAACCGGGCCACCUUUUUCCUUUUUGCAGAUUCGGUCCGCUUUUUCCGCCGCCUGACCAAAAUGCCCCUCCUAUACAAUAGCCUCCCGCGUAUUUCUUGACAUACGUAUACUACCCUGCCGUACGUUCUGGCGCGCAUUAAAUGACCCGUUCAAUCUCAGUCAUUUCUCGGAACCCGGACAACAUCCGCCCCCGCUAUUCGCCGGCCCCGCUGUUUCCUGUUUGGCUUUAAUUCUUUAAUACAAUAAUUCACGAUAAAUGAGAAAAUAUGCACGGCCCGAGUAGGGAUAAUAGUGCAACGCAAAGUGAAACGUCCGAAAAAAUGGUACAACUGCCAUUAUAACAGUGCAUCGCUAGGUCGCACCAGUGCAACCUCUCCAAAAUCAGUCAAAAUUUUACUUUCUCUAUUCCUUAAUAUAAUCUCAACNNNNNNNNNNNNNNNNNNNNNNNNNNNNNNNNNNNNNNNNNNNNNNNNNNNNNNNNNNNNNNNNNNGAAAUUAAGAAGUGAAGACUCCGCUCGGAUAACCUCUCCAACGAACCCUUAUAAGUAGUACGAGUCUUUUCAAAAUAUUGCACUGGUUUACCAACCUUAUUGCACUUUCGUUGCACAUGUUUUAAAUCGAUUGCACUAUUAUUUAUACCCAUCUCCAUGAACGAACAUCAUACCACAUAUUAUCCUUGCACUUACGAUCUGCUUUGAAAAUUAUUGUAUCUUGGUUGUGUUUAUACACGACCUGCAACUAACAACAGCGGCUUCAUUAUUAUUUUGAGGAUAUUAUUUUGUUUAUGUUAAUGUUAAUACUACUAUUUCUAAGGUCUAUGUCUGUUAAAGGUAAUAUGUCAACAACCACGUGCUAUGUAGAAUGCGUUCAUAUAUUCUGUCGAAGCCUUUUCAUGCGUUAUAAAACCUGACUUUCGGUAAGAACAGUUUGUACAAUCGUCCAUAGGGACCCCUAUGUAACGCUCUCGGAAAAGCUCCUGCGCGCGGGCGACCUCCAGCGCCGCCGCCGUGCUUCUCUGCUUGCCUGACUCUUAGUCGCUACAUAUGUCGCCGACUCAUUGCGAUACCCGCAGCAACGUCCUGACCCCGACAGCUUCGUCUUCAUUGGAAUGGUAGCCCGUAUAAUUUGCAGAUACUAUGUUAGACUCUCUCUCUCUCUCUCUCUCUCUCUCUCUCUAUAUAUAUAUAUAUAUAUAUAUAUAUAUAUAUAUUGAGAGAGAGAGAGAGAGAGAGUUCAGCUACUAUAUUCUUAUGAGUAUAGUUCUUUUUGCACUCAUAAAUUUUCGGACGUUAGAUCUAUCAUUUUGAUUAUUUUUAUCCGUUUCAUCAUACUAUUCAACCAGUCACUCAUUUAACUUUAGGAAACUACUAUUAUUCUAAUCGAAGACUAUUAUUAUCCUAAUCGCACAUUCUUUUAUCUAACAGCAAAAAAUUUAUAAAUACAAAAUAGUUUAUACUCAUAAGAGUAUAAUAGCUCUACUAUAUAUAUAUAUAUAUAUAUAUAUAUAUAUAUAGGGCUAGAAUACUUUUACAAGUAUCACCCAAGUGAUACUUGUGUGUUUUUAGCCCUUGGAUGGAGAGAUGUGAGGUUGAGAUGAUGGUGGUAGGUGGUGGUAGGUGGAAUAGUAUUUGAUCCAAGGGCUAUGUGUAAUCAAAAAGUAAAUCCAAUGGCUAAAAACGUGAUAGCAACAUGGGGAUGAUACUUGUAAAAGUAUCCUAGAUCAACUCUAUAAAUAUAUAUAUAUAUAUAUAUAUAUAUAUAUAUAUAUAUAUAUAUAUNNNNNNNNNNNNNNNNNNNNNNNNNNNNNNNNNNNNNNNNNNNNNNNNNNNNNNNNNNNNNNNNNNNNNNNNNNNNNNNNNNNNNNNNNNNNNNNNNNNNNNNNNNNNNNNNNNNNNNNNNNNNNNNNNNNNNNNNNNNNNNNNNNNNNNNNNNNNNNNNNNNNNNNNNNNNNNNNNNNNNNNNNNNNNNNNNNNNNNNNNNNNNNNNNNNNNNNNNNNNNNNNNNNNNNNNNNNNNNNNNNNNNNNNNNNNNNNNNNNNNNNNNNNNNNNNNNNNNNNNNNNNNNNNNNNNNNNNNNNNNNNNNNNNNNNNNNNNNNNNNNNNNNNNNNNNNNNNNNNNNNNNNNNNNNNNNNNNNNNNNNNNNNNNNNNNNNNNNNNNNNNNNNNNNNNNNNNNNNNNNNNNNNNNNNNNNNNNNNNNNNNNNNNNNNNNNNNNNNNNNNNNNNNNNNNNNNNNNNNNNNNNNNNNNNNNNNNNNNNNNNNNNNNNNNNNNNNNNNNNNNUGUGUCAUGCUAUGAAGAUACUUCUUUUCUGAGAGGAAUUGGGGGAAGCGUCAAUCUUGAUGGUUGGCUCCUGGAAUAUUCUUCCAGAUUAUUAUUUUCUCUUGAUGGUCUACUUCUUAUGUUAUUGCCCUAUUCUUUUUGUAGCAUCAAAAUAUUUGCUUCGUUUUUUCUAAUUUCCCAUUCGAUUGGUAGUUUUUCCUUCUAUUUCAUUUAUUUAAGGAAUGGAAUGGUAGGCUGUGAAGUAUGCACAAUAAAAUAUUAAUUUGAAUUGCUUUCUUCUUCUUUUUUUCUUUUUUUUUUUUAAUGUUUGAUUUGAGAGAUUGACGAUAUGGAACGUUCCAUGGACAAUCCGAGUCGAUCCGGUAAACUGCUAGGAAGGUUUAUCCUAUCUUUAUAUAAUAGUAAAUAUAGUAAUUGGCUGGGCUACUUUCCCCAGGAAGGGAAGCAGAAUGGGAUUCAUGCAUCGAACAGGUGAAUCAUAAAUUUUAUUAUUUAUAAAUUUUUUACUUUAGCAGUAACUACCCGCCGCAUCGCGCGGGUACCUACACUAGUGUGAUUUAUAGUGUAUCAAGUUAGUACUAUGAGAUUUCAUUUUUUUUUCUUUUUAUUAUUCAUUUCACUAAUUUUUUUCGUUAAAUCAGUGACAAAGUUACAAUUAAAGGGUUCUGAAGUGAAUAUUCGAUAAACCUAGAUAGGGUAUCUAAAGUUUUUUUUAUAUAAUUUAAUGAAAUAUUAAUGGAGGAAAAAAAUCAGUGACAAACUUGAAACUAAAGGGUACUAAAAUAAAUAUUCGAUAAAUCUAUAUAGAGUAUCUGAAGUUUUUUGUAUAUAAUUUAACGAAAUAUUAACAGAGAAGCUGACGAAAAGAAAAAAAAAAUCAUAAGAUAGAAAAUUGAUGCAAUUAACUCUAGUCCCAAACUAAGACUAAAUUCGAUAAUAAAACGAUACAUUUAAUAAACAACAGGACGGUAAAUUUUAAAAUUUGAUAUUGGAUAGCAGUAUUUCCAUAUAAGCUAGAAACAUGAUCGGAUUCAAAUUCAAACUCUCUUAUUUUAACAUCAUGCUAAAUAAUGUGAGACAUACAAUAUUCUCCGAAUUUAUCAAAGAACGAUAUUUUUAUAUUUUACAUUCAACACUAUAUAUUAAAAAUUCUAAACCUAAUUGUGAUACACGAUGCUUAAAAUGUCUAAACAUUAAAUCAUACAAUAUUUUUCAUGAACAUUACAAAUGCCAGCUAUUAAUUUUUUGGUAAAAUCAUACAGAAUAUAUUUGAACUAUAAAUUAUUUUGAUUUAGUUAUUUGACCUUUCAAAAUUUUGAUUUUACUAUCCAAUCUUCAAUUAAUUUGAUUUGAGUCAGUUAAUAAUAUUUUAACUUUAAUAUUUAAAUGCACUAUUUUUCUUUAGAAAUUUAGUUAGUAAAUUUUAUGCAAUUCUCGCGAUAUCAUUAAUCGAUUCAAAUUAAAAAGAAUUAAAGUAUUGAGUAGUAAAAUUAAAAUUUUGAAAGUUUUAAUAGUGAGUUUAAAUUGAUCUAAAUCAGAACUUCUGGUUUGAAUUUGUCGAUACAGUGAGUCUAUGGACCGGGGCCGUACAAUAAAUAGGGCUCCCCAGCUGUAGACCCGGAUACGGGAGAUUGUAAUUGGCCGGUCCACUAGACCGGGUUCACCGAGCCGAUCAGUUCCAACGGUCGUGAUGUCACGCGCUAUGCUUGUUGUGGUGGCUCCAAGUGGCACGCGUUAGAACGUGUAGCUGCAGACCCCACUUUUUUGACAUCACGUAAUGGCUAAAAAUGACAUAGUCAUAUGCUCUCGUUGGAGCCACUGUAUUCCAUUAUAUUUUUUUACGAUGAUAUUACGUAAUAUUUAAAAUCUAAAAUUUAGAAAGGAUACAAUGAAUAAUUCAUCGUGUUCAAAUACGAUGAAUGAUUAAUCGUGUUAAGCUUAACCUUUACUAUCAUCGACAUUCGCAUGGCGCUCGCAUGACACUCGCAUGGUACGGAUUGAACCAAAUCUUAUAAAUAUAAAUUUUAUAGGGCUAUUUUUAGAAAAAAAAAAUUCUGAGCUAAAUGCAAAAAAAUUCCUACUUAAUAUUAUAUUAGUUUAAAUAAGAUAAAUUUUUUAUAGUUGUAUUAAAAAAUAGAAAAGUAUAUUUAUAAAUAUUUAUUUCUGUAAAAAAAAUUUUGAUUUAUUACCGUUAGAUUACUAUUUAUUUUUUAACAGAAGAUAAAUAAAAUGACAUUUUUUUGUCAUGACAAAUAUGUCAUUUCAAAAGCCCCAAGUAUUAAAAUUAUACAGAAAUAUUCUCUCAAAAAUAUUUUUCAACGGUUAUCAUCUUCUUUUCUACCAUCAUAAAUAAUAUAAAAGGAGUAAAAUGAUUAAUUACCUCAUUCACUAAUUAAAGUUAAGUAUUUUAUUUAUGAUUAACUAAAUUUUAACGGAUUUUGAUAGUGGGAGUAUAUUUGAAAAUAUUAGGCUUUUUGUAAGAAUAAAUAUAUUUACAGGAAACGGUAAGCAAUUAACCCUAAACUAAAUAUUGAUUAGCCCAUAGUAAUCGACUAGUGAUUAUUCUAUAUAUAUCUUUACUUGAAUCAUAGGCUUGGUUCUUCCUUUUUUUUUUUUUUUUUUUUGGCCUUUCGAUAUUUUUAAGAAAUUUAUUAUUUAUCAUCUGACCUGAAUGCACUAACUAUAACUCCAAUUAUAUAAUAAAAUAAAACUAAUCUUAAAUUUAUUAAUUUUUGGAUAGUCCAAAUCCUAACUAACAUUAAUUAAUUAAAAAAUAAUAACAAAAUAAAAUUGAGACAUGGAGCUACUGGAGCAUUUUGUGCUUGGUAAGAGAGCUUUGCCAAAGAGAUGCCUCUCCAUAUUUUAUAUAUUAAUUAUUCUACACAAAAAUUUACCAAAAUGAGAAUAUAAAUUUGAUCAUUCAUUUAAUUUUAAAGUUACUUGAUUAAAGUUGAAUUUGAUGGUCUCGCAUUCAGGAACGUUCCUAAUAAUUUUUAUUUGUAUCGAUUAGGCUGCAGAGGUGUUGUUAAACUAUUUAAUCGAUGAUUAAAUUAAUUAAUGAAAACUUCUAAGAGAUGAGAAAAUGAAAGUUUCUUUUAUAAGAUGCAUCUUGUGGAGGCGCAUCUUUAUGUAUUGUUAAAUAUAUUAAACAAUAUUUCGAGAUUUGAAUUAAGCACCAUGUACAUGUUUUAGCAUGGGACUAUUUGUACAACUGUAUUAUACUUAUAAUUAUAUAUGCAAAUUUCAAAUUAGUGUUUGUUUUAAUAUAUUUGAAUCCAACUGUUGUAAUUAUAACUAUACAAGGGAGCUCAACUAUAACAGUUGGAACUAUGUCCAAAUUAGUCGUAGUUUUUACUACAACAUUUGAGAAAGUAAUUUUAAACAAAAAAAUAAAUUUACCUUCCUAAUCAUUUGCUAAGGAAACUAAUUUUACAUCGAAAUCAAGUCCAGUCCUUUCUUUUUAUUGAGGGAAAAUACGUCCAAAGACGAUUUUAUUUAAUUAAUCAGUGAAUACAGACUGAAAAAAUUCAUCAGUAGAAAAUCAGAAAGAAAGCUUUUUGCGUACGAGUCCCCAAGUCCAGUCCCUUUUUAUUGUAGGAAAUUUUAUAUUUGGUUAAUUAUUACACUACGCUUGUUGUUAACUUCUUUACUAAUAAACCAAAAGUAAAAUUUAAUUUUGUAAAUAACCAUUUUCUUUCUCAGAGUAGCAAAGUAGAAAAAUAGAAAAAAAAAAAAAAAUUGGACAACACCGUUAUUUUGACACGACCCAUCAACAUUCUUUUUAGAUAUUUCCUAACUUGUAAUAUUUCAUUUUUUUAGUCAAAAAAAUUUAAUACUAUUCAUCAAAUAAAAUCAUUAUAUUUAAUANUUAAGGUCAAAAGCUUGAAAAAUCCAGCCUCUUGUAAGAUGUUGGGAGGUGGUUCACACCUUUUCGAGCUUUAUGUAGGUUUGUGAGCUUGGAGCGUUAAACGUUUCCAGGUCACACAAUGUCUAUCAUAUCAUCGGCCUAUAUAUAUAUAUAUAUAUAAGCUCGAAAAGCUCGGAUUAAGCUUGCUCGGCUCAUUAUGAGUUCGAGCCGAACUUUACUUAAAGCUCAAAAAAAAAAAACAAGUUCGAGCCGAGUAAAUUAAAGUUCAGCCCGAGCUCGCUCGGUUUAUAGUUCAGCUUGCGCUCAGCUUGUGCUCGGCCGAGCGAGUAAACGGUCGGGAUCAAAACUAUAACGGAUUUUGAAAAUGUUCAAAGAUUUUCACGCCACAUACCUUGUAUCAUUAUCUGGCCCACGUCGCUAUUUGAGCUCAGUAGGCCCCAAUAAUCAACAUUGAGUAAGCGCAACAGACACCUCCUUAGGCGCCGUCCCUUUGCGCCUCCUCUUUUGGCCCCUAGCGAAAAAAAAAAAAAAACAAAAAAACAGAGAAACCAUUUUUAUUGGGAGUUAAUAUAUCUAGUGUACUUUUUUUUUCGAAAAUUGAUAAAAAAUUGAUUUUUGUCGAGUUCAAGGUAAAAAAAUAUGUAUUAAAAAUAUAAAUUAAUUUAAUAUUUAAGAUAAUUUAUAUUACUAAAAUAAACUACUUAUCAUAAUUUAAAAAAACUGAUUUUUUUACUUUAUAAUGUUCAAUCCUUUAUAGAUUUUUCUUACAACUACCCAGCACAGUUUUAUUGCCACAACAGGUUAAAAAAAAAAAAAAAGAUAAAAAGAUGAAACGAUGAGACUCUUUCUUUUACCAAUAAAUGUUUUAAUUUAAAAUGAAAACCAAAUAAUCAUUUCUUCAAUUGUUGUUCGCAUCACAUUAUUAAUUGGUUUAUAUUUUAAAGGAUGUUAUUUUUCCCUGACCUGAACCCCUGAGCAUGCGUUUUUCGAAAGAAAGACUAAAAGAUGACUACUUAAAAAAGUCAGACAUAAGUGACUAAUUAAUUUAUUUUAGCAGAAACCUGCAUAAAAGGGAGUUAUUUUUCUUUCCUGACCUGAACUAAAGCUACAUUUUAAUCAAAGGAAUCGUUUACUAAUCCUUCCAUUUAAAUAAAAAAACAAAUUUUAAUGAAAGAGUUUACAACAUCAUUUUUGAUGCUGAUUAAACCUGUAUCAAGGUUGACAAUAUCAACUCGAGGGAACAUAUCAAUAUUAAUGUUGUCAACCUAAGUUUAUAUAAUUUUGUUUGUGAUUAAACUUUAAACGUAUAUAUUAAUAUUCAUAUUAUGUCAACAUGUUUAUCAGGGUACGAUUUUGUACAUGUACCACGAAUUAAGUUUAGAGCUUUAUAACAAAUUAUAUAAAUUGUUAUGUAUUUCUACGCGGAGGUGUUCUACGUAGAAUAUUUUCUUUGAAAGUAAAAGAGUAGAGAAUCUUCAAAAGUAAUUAAUUAAAUUAGUAGCUAAUUUAUCAAAUUGUUGUGGAGACGUCGGAUUAGCUAUGUUUAUUUUUAAUAAUCCUUGCAAGGACUUACGCUCUGGUAGUUUAAGUUGAAAUUAGUUCAUUGAAAUUUUAAUUUACUUACUAGUUUAAAUAUAAGAGUAAAACCAUUUAAAAACACAUCUUAUUAAUUAUAUAUUUUAUACCUCUCCGUAGAGAAACCGUUUCGAGAGAAUGGUUCGUGUUUUACGAGGUCAUCGAGGUACAGAGUUAAAAUAAAACAAUAAUAAAAAAUUAAUUAAUUACAAUCAAUCCUAAACCUGAUAGGUUUUUAAUUAUUUAAAUUCUAAUCAAAAUAAAAUAAUAUAUUAACCUCAAUAUUGGACAAGUCCUGAAAGUUUUUACUCUCGGGGACCGGUCCCUGGAAGGAGAGACCGGUUCCCCCAGUGAGCAGUGUUGAGGCAGCCUGAGGCAACCGGUCCCUGGCAGGCGAGACCGGUUCCCGAGCGCGUUCUCGCAGUGAGAGACCGGUCCCGCGCAGGGAGAGACCGGUUCCCGAACGCUGGGUUUUCGGGUUCGCAGCGAGAGACCGGUCCCUGCUGGGGAGAGACCGGUCCCUCUGGGUGAAAACUGCCCAGUCCGGGCUGAUGUAAUUUUGGGUUUUUGAGGGGCCUAACUGGAUUUUGUUACCUUAGAGGCUAUAGGCAGCCUCUCCUCCUCUCUCAUUCUCAUUUUCUCUCAACCCUUUGCAUUCUAGAGAGAGAAGAAGAGAGGGAGAAGGAGAAGAAGAAGAGAAGAGCUUGCUUGGAGGCCUUGGAGCACCAUCUUCUUCCUCAUUUCUCACCUUGGAGGCUUGGAGCUUGCUUUUGGAGCUUUGUGGUGGAUCACUCCUCAACCCUAGAAGAUUUUGAGCUUGGAUUGGAGCAUCCUAAAGGUAUGUGGCAAGGUUCCUCCCUCUAGAUCUUAGUUUUGAAGCUUUUUGCUUGUUUAAACCCUAGAAAUGAGAUUUAGGGUUUGAUUUUGGGCAUUUUUGAUCUAGGGCUUUUCGACCUAAAUUGAUUGGUUUAGAACCUUCCUGGGGCUUGGAUUGGAAGGGUUCUAGCUCUCUUUUGGAGCUUAGGAGAAGAUUUCUCCUCUUGAGGUGAGUUUGCCCCUUUUUGCUCCUAGGUUAAUGUUUGUUGUUAUAGGAUGAUUGUAAUGCCCUCGUAUCUCUUCGCUGAUUACUUUUAGGGUAUUUUGAGACUCGGGGACAACUUGGUUCGGCGAGACGAGGCUCUACGCGACGGUUCGGUGGGUUUGACCUAGCCACACAAUGAGAAAUUCUCAUUUGUACUUAAUUAAGUGUUGUUAAAUGAAAAAGCAUGCAUAUUCUUGUUAUAUGUAUUUAUUGUGAAUUUUAGAAUGCUUAAAAGGCCUAUGUUAUAUAUGAUGAAAUUUUGGACCUCUAUGUAGUAGAGAGUAGCUUAUUAGGCCAUAGUUGCAUUUGGCAUUCUAUAUGAGACGUGGUAUCAUACUUCUAUAGUAUAAAUGAGUUCGGAUUCAUGCAUUCAAACCUAAGUUUACUUGUGACAUGAGAAUUGACAAAAUUGUCAUUUAGAAGCUAUAUGAAUUAAAGAGCUAAUGUCAUCCAGCGGCAUUGAGCUCGGGACAUGUGCGAACCUAGUGGAUAGGGCCAUCGAGGGACUUGGGAUACAUAUUGGACACCAAAUUGCCUAAGUGUCAUCAAGGGGCACUAGGCGUAGCAAAAGUUGAGAAUUCACAUUUUGCCUUAAACUAGAUCUACGGGAUGCUAGCGACUAUAUCAUGUUAGAGACAUGAGGAUUGGAUAUUUGAGACUUGGACUUUGCUUGCUUGCCAUUUGUGCUCAUUCGCACAUGCUUGUGAGGGUCGCUCCCUACAAGCCGGCACUCCGGAGUUAGCCUACGCGACUUUUGUUCGCUCGUGCGGUAUUGAGAAGCCUACGGGGUCGAGUGGGACAGACACAUUCCAAGAGUAGGGAUGUUGGGCUACCACAGGCACUUAGGCGGCACAAGCUGGACCACCUUUGGUAGGUCCUUAAUUGGAAAUGGAAAUCGAUACGGUGUUGAGAAUGGAUAAUCACUACUAGAUAGGUUUAGUAGUUGAGUUACAUUUAUACGCUUUUAGCAUAGUGUUGAGACAUGUAGUAUACUUGAUAGUCUCCUUUUUGCAUUAAAGCAUGUUUGGAUGUCAUGACAGAACUUGCAUACUGUUUUCAUAAAGAUUAAUGACAUACUAUGUUGAUAUCGUAGAUGUACGUCACCAUGACAUCGUGAAUGCUUGAGUUUAGUAAGUUAGCAUUUUAAUUAUACCUUUAUAUUGCUAUCAUUUUUGUACUUACCCUUUUCUUUUGGGGCCUAGUGGUGCGAUGAGCUGAGGUCAGUAAUUGCCCACCGGGAACUAUAAAUUAUAGUUCUCACGCCCUCUUUUUCUCGAUAUUUUUCAGAGCCUUCCACGCAGGGAGAGGCCAGGGAUCGCGGAAAGGGUAUCGCCUCGGGCUAGCGUGCUUACCGAGGGAUCGUUCGAUAGGUGGUCUACCUCUCGUGUUAUCUUUUUGGGAGAGGUUGAGAGUUGUACCCGUAUAUAUAUAGAGACCACCAUUUUUGUACUAGAGACAGAUAUUGUACUACUUAUGAUUACCUUUAUGUAUUAGUUAUGCUCUAUUACUAUUAGUAUAGAUAUUAGAACUACAUUCGCUCUGAUAUCAUUAGUUGCUAGUUAUUUCACUUCUUUAUCUGCUCUAUCUCUUGCUUACUUUCGCAUUUGUUGUAGACGCCUUAUAUGUGUUGACAUAUGGCGGGUCUGAGCACGCUACCGGGAGGGCCUCCGCCGGUCCCGGGGCAUGACACUAUCGAUAGUACCAAGCCCUUGGUACUAUUGAGUUUUCUACCGUUAGAUCUACCAUUUGAUCAUUUCCACCCGUUAGAUUAUACUAUUAAAACCAACCACCCACUCAACCCUAGGGGACCACUAUCAACUUUACCGGGGACCACUAUCAUCCUAACCGCAUAUCUUUUCAUCCAACAGUCGAAAACUCAAUAGUACCAAGGGCUUGGUACUAUUGAUAGUACAGUAGCAUAUUUUUAUAUAUAUAUAUAUAUAUAUUUAAAACUAUCUUUUAAGAAAUAUGGUAUAUUUUGUUCUAGUUAUUGAAACUAGAUUUUAAAAUUACAGUAUAGUAGUAUAAAACACUCUAAAAAUAAAAGUCGGCAACUAAAACUCGGUGAAGCUAGUGAGCCGUUUACUAUAGCUUUUUAGCGUUUUAAAUAAAAGAUCUAUGAAGUUUAUGAGAUCUAGUUCCGAUUGCCUCGUCUAGCAGCUAAACUUUCAGGGUUGUAGCUUUUGUUUCACCUUCGUGCCUCGCGAGGCACGAAGGCUUUCGUGGGGUCUGCGUGAGNUAUUUUUGACUGUAUAAAUGAAAAUGAAUAAUAUAGAGAUUGAAGGCGAAAGAAAAGACAUGUAAGGCUGAAAAGAUUAGAUAUUCAACUCAUAAAUUAUUUUUUUUCAUAUUAUAAUACUAUAUUUUAUAUAAUUAUUUUGUACUUUGAACUAUUAGACAUAUUUUUAUAUUAAAUUAUAAAUAAUGUUCUAUACAAAUUAAACUACUGAUCGUAUGAUGUUGAGAAUUUUAAGCGGCUCGUUUAGAGCUCGAACUCGCUCGACUCGAAAUUAGGCUCGCUCGAGCUCGGCUCGAAUUAAUUUCAAUCCAAGCUUGAGUUUAAAUUUAGGCUCGAAAUUAAUUUCAAGCCGAAUUUGAGCCGAGGUAAGCUCGCUCGAGCUCGGCUCAUUUCCACCCCUAAUCAAAACCGAAUUUAUUGGACACAUUCUAUGAUAUUUAAUAUGGGCAGUCGCUUAUGUAUUAUAUGUAUGAAAAGUUUCAAACUAUUUUAUUUGCACAGCUUAAAAGACUAAUAAAAAAAUAUCAUUUUAAUUUUUUAAUAUUUUUAUAUAUAAUUCUUUAAAAGUUAAAUUUUAUUAACGAACAACUAAUAUUACUAGUAUUUUAUCUUUUAAAAUAUAUUAUUUUAUAGUCGCCAACUUUUUUCUAUAUAUUUUUAAGUUAGAGACAAAAAAAAAGUACUUUUAUCUUUUAAACUUUCAAAUAUACCUCGUGUAUUGUCACCAAUUUUUUUUAUUUGUUUCUUAAGUAAGGGAUAACAGAAACAUUUAGAAUAUUUUUAACUCUAGUAAAACUUUAAUCUAAAUUUAGUCUAAAAUAACUUAACAGAUAAUAAAUAUGGAUACUUAACCGUAAUAAAUUAGUUAAUAAUAAUAAUAUAAUUUCUGUCGUCUCACCAAAUAGCAAAAUUAUAAUUGUAUAGUGUAUGAGGUAGGGCUAGCAAAUGAGCGAGCCGGCUCGCGUUCGAGUCGCGUUCGACUCGAUAUUUAGCUCGCUCGAGCUCGACUCGAAAUUAAAUGAGCCGAGCUUGAACAAAAAAAAGGGCUCGAAAUUUAUUUCAAGCCGAGUUUGAGUAUUACUCGGCUCGUUCGAAUUAGGCUCGAAAAGUUCGAAAAGCUCGAAUAUAUAUAUAUAUAUAUAUAUGCCUAUGCUAUCGAAAGUAUUGAGAUCUGGUGCCUUCGAUUUUUGAUUCUUAGAUCAAUCCCUUUAAUCGUUUUUUAUCUUUGGAUUAAUAUUAUUAUUAUCUUGUAGGAACCACUCAAUCCUAAGAGUAUUAUUUAAUCCUAGGGGAGGCCGUAAUCAUCCCAACCAUACAAUUUUUAGUCAAAGGGUCAAAAAUUCAAAAACAUCAAAUCCUCUAUAUGUUCGAUAGCAUAGUAGUUCUACACUAUAUAUAUAUAUAUANNNNNNNNNNNNNNNNNNNNNNNNNNNNNNNNNNNNNNNNNNNNNNNNNNNNNNNNNNNAAAAAAAAAAAAAAAAAAAAAAAUGCCAAAGCGAAAAAUGGCAGCAAUAUUUGGUUUUAUAUGGGGUAGAAAAAAUCACAAAACCUCUUAGCAAGUAAACUGUCUCUGACUGAUAGAUAUCUUUGGAAAUAAUCUGCUGUCGAUUUGUGAGUAGCCUUCUUUAUGCCUCCUCUAUAAGCUCUGAUAACAAAUUCUUCGCUUCUUUCUCUGUGAUACCAUUUUGUCAAAUAUUUUAGUUGGACAUAAUCAAGAGUACAAACUAGAUUGAAUAUAAAUUAUAUAAUAUAACAUAUAUAUAUACACACACACACAUAUAUAUCAAAUGUAGCAUACUUUCCAUCAGAAGAGGACAGCCAUUUUAUGUAAGCAGCACCGAAGUACACAUUCACAAAAGGCUUGUACAGCAACAUUGGAUCGCCCUCUACUUCGUAAUUUCUGUACCCCAUUUCCCUACGAAAUCAACCAUAAUCAAUCAAAAAAGUUUCAUAAUUUCCAUGUCUUGGAAUAAGGAGAAUUGGGACUUGUUUGGUCCAGCGGGACCUUUUGCAGAAGCUUUGUUCAAUGAUCAAAGAAGCACUUAAAGGUUUUUCCAUUGCGAACAUCUUCCUCUUGCAGCACUAGCCAAAGCUUCAAAUCGGAACUUUUGCUUUUGGGCCUAAAAGCUCAUCGUAUCUUCCAGCGACAGCAAAAGCUCAAAAUCUUUCGCUUUCUCUAUAGCAAUGCAGCUAUUCUAGAAGCCAGACCAAACAAGCACUUGGGGCCCAUUUGGGGCACUACAGGGUGCAAUGUAACUGGAUAAAGUGUUUUGAGAGUAUCUUGUUAAAAGUAGAGGCAAUAAGGAUAUAACUAUUUAAUUGGAAUCCUCCUGACAAGAAAGUCUUCUCUGCAGAGGGAUUUCUUGUAGGAUUCGUACAAAGCCAAUCUAAGGACAUCAUAUCAGCAUCUGAAAGUAAAUCAAAGCAGUAUAACAAUUUCAAGUUGAAAAGAUAGCAGCAGUAUUUAGUUGAUAUUUGGUUGGACAGGAUUCUCAUAUGGAAUCCCUAUUACAGGGCAGACUUCCUCCCUCUCGACAAUUCUCUGCAGCAGAAACAGAAGCUCUCUGGUGCUUUUAGGCCUUAAAAUCCCGUUUCUACUUCCCUCCACAGUGAAAGCUCAAGGUUUUUCUAUUUCCAAAGCACUCUAGUGCCUCAGAAGGGGUGCUUGUAGCUAAAAGAAAAAACAGAAGCCAGGCCAAACAGACAGUUAUCUAGUACGCUUGUGGCACUUAAGUACCUAGCAAGCCAUUCUGCGACUUCGGGGGCAAUCUGCAUGAGACCAGCCGUUCUCUCCUUUUUCUUCUUAUCAUAAUUCUCAAUUAAAAGUAUUCUGUUGCUUGCAAUUUCAGCAANGGUGCGUGGGCGAGCGCCGGACGCGUCAGAUCCACCGUGCCUUGCGGAACGGCAAGUAUAAGGUACCAAACUUCCAAAAUUAUGAAGUUACGGUGUAUAUUUAAAUGGUUCCGGUGAGCUUGCGGUGUAAUGUAAUAUACCGGAUUUAAAUAUAAAAAUAAAAAUAAAUAAAAAUAGUAUGAGAUACUAUUUUUAUUGGAUUUAGAGAAGUGAAAUAUAGGUUGGGAAUGACCUGUGCUGAAAUCGGAGCGAAAACAGAAGAUUUAGAAUUUUCUGUGGGAAACAGGACAGAUAAAUUAGUAGAAAAUGUAUAGUCUCAGAAAAUUAUGAAAAUUAGAGGAUAAGUCAGAAAUAUUUUUAUGAGGCUAGAUUUAAGGUUUCAUAUUUUUCUGACACACGUAGAGUGAGAAAUAAAAUCCGAAAGCAAUCUGAUAAAGAUUACAGUUCGGCACAGUUUUCGGUGACCAAACGGAGUCGAAACUGAAAAAUUAAGAUAUAUUCUUGUUCAGUACGUUAAACCGAAUAUGACUGUCAAAUUUGAGCUCAAACGGAUAUUCAGAGGGCUCCGACAAAAGAUAUCAGAUUUCGAGCUGCCUGAAUGUGAAUAGUGUUCUUGGAUAAAACUUGGAGGUCAAGUUUCCUAUAUGCAUAUAUAUGUAUGAAGGAUUGAGCCUUUUCUCUCUUUCCCUCACACUUACAACCAAAGAGAAAGAUCUCUCUCUCUCUCUAGCAACUUCUCUACCAAAGAGAAUUGGAGGUGGAUUUGGAGAAGAAAAAGCUUGCUUAGAGGUGAAGCCUUCUUUUUCUUCACCAUUGGCUUGAAGAAAGCUUGGGUUUGAGAGGUAAGCUUUGAUAACAACAAUGGUAGCUUGCUAAGUAGUGAUUUGUAUGCCUUAUAAAUGGGUUUAGUGAAACUCCUAGAUGCUAAAUAGAUGGUUGAUGCUCGAAUUUAGAGAUCAAAUGAUGAAUUCUUGCAUAGUUGCAUCUUAGGGCAUCAAAAGAGGGGUUUUGCUUAUGAGGGGUUUUGAUCUAAAUUGAUCAUGUAUAAACCUAAUUGAUAGGUCACUGAACGCGUUGGAAGCGACGGUUCGGCGAUUCGACGAGCCGGUGAGAAGUUAUUAAAGAAACGGACGUUUAGGCUUCGUUUCCGCCUGGAGGGCCGAGGCGACGUCGUAAAAUCCUGAAAACGGAUUUAAAGCAUUGUAACAAGAAACCGAAAACCUUUAAUUUUCGGAUCGUGGAUCGGAGGUCGUUUGGUGGUCGCGUGCGAAUUGGGUCAAGCCGAGCGGUGUGCGCCGCGGGAGGCCGAUUGCGAGUGACGACGAGCAAUCGGAACGCGAUAAAAGGUGGGGGGUGUCAUCCCGAAGCAAUCGGGCUUCUCCCUAUGUCUAAGUAUCUCUAUGUUGAUCAAUUAUGCAUAUCGAGCUUUGCAUUAUAAGGUGCUAGAUGAUAAAUGUAUAUACAUAGAUAUAUAUAUUCUUGCAUACUAGUAGAGUAAUGUAAAGUUGAAUUGCUUAAAUACUUGUACCUAGUAUGCAUGUGAUUGGGACAUAGUGUUGUGAAACCCUACAAUGACAAGAUUAAUGUGGAUAGACUCUAGUUGAAUGAACACCUAGUGUUGUAUUUAAAGACAUAGUUUACAAGUGGCAUUGGACUCAUUGUGCUAAAAACACAUAUGACUUGAACUAGUAAUGGAUUGGUUAUUGUACUAGAAACUCUAGUUAACAUUGAUCAAGUUGCAUAUUGGGAUAUUGCAUUAUAGGGUACUAGUUGGCAAUUGUUACAUGUCAUGGCAUGCUAGUGGGAGUGUAGUGUUACUUGAUUAAUACUUAUACCUAGUAUGCAUGAGAUUGGGACUUAGUGUGGUGAAACCCUAUAAGGGCAUGAUUAAUGUGGAUUAAACUGUAGUUGAGUACAUUAAUCGAUCAAGUUGCAUAUUGUAUUUAUUGCAUAUAGGUGCUAGAUGAUUAUGGUUAUUGCUUAUAUAUGCAUGCUAGUAGCUAUACAUCUUGAUGAUUGAUCCAUGAUCUAGUAUGCAUGAUGAUUAUAUGAUGAAAACUCUAUAAUAAAGACCUAGACCCUAUAUGAGAUGAUUAAUGCUUAUGUUGCUAAAGAACUAGUAUGAUGUAACUAGUGUUGAUAAUGAGUCAAAAUUGACAAGUGGCAUCUAGUUAUAGAAAACUACGAUGAGUGGCAUGUGAUUGUUGAUGACCUUGAUGUGAGAACAUUAGUGUAGUUGAGACACUAUGAGAUUGGGUACAAGAACACCUUGAUUCCAUGAUGAGAUUACCCUUAGAGGGUAGGUUGCUGCUGUUCGUGAGUUGAUCGUGCUCACAUUGCCUAUCUGCGCUUGGUGGGGUCGCUCCCCUCAAGUUGUGCGCUCCGGAGUUGGUCACUAGAGAGGCAGCCCUGCUUGCUGCUCGGAUAGCCGCUUGUUAUCCGCAGGCGUACUCGGGGAUAGUUCAGCUAGGCAUCCCUCGGAGGUUGACAUGUGAGCCUUGCUUGUGAACCUUGUGUUCACCAUGAGAUUUGGUUACCUAUUGAGUCAUACUCAUUAUUGUUGUUCAUGAUAGCUUGCUUCCAUAGUUGUUGUUGUGGUUCAUAGUUGCCUUUGGCUUGCCGGCUGAUUGGGUGAUCUAAUGAAUAGCCUUAUUGAUGAACCUAGUGGUAUGGUAGUUAGCCUUCACUAAGACUUAUAUUGAUAGCGAGCAUAGUCGCUUGGUAGUUGGAUUGGUGGAUUUGCCUACAUACAGUGAGUGGACAUACUAUUCCUUCACCUAUGAGAUUUGAGGGGAGUAGCCUUAUACCUAGUAGGUCGAGAUGUGAGUCGGGCAAAGUGCGGGGUAGCCUUUGCCUAGGACCUUGAGAUGUGGGUCGGGCAAAGUGCGGGGUAGCCUUUGCCUAGGACCUUCGAGAUUGGGUCGGACCUUCGAGAUCUAAGUCGGGCGAGGAGCGGGGUAGCUCUUUGCUCAGGACCCUUAAGACAUGAAUCGAAUGAGACAAGAAUGAGGUAGCUUUUCACCUACUAGAUUUGAGAUCUUAGGCAAAGUAGCCUAGUGGAUUGGGCAAUAAUGUGAAUAGCAUAAGUGGAUUGCAUUCAUACCAUGAUUAUACAUAGUGCAUUGCAUAACUAUGUUAUAGUUGUAUUCAUUUCAUUGUUGAGGCAUAUUAGCAUGAUAGUAGAUUGUUGCUAGAUGAUGUUCCAUGCAUACUUUUCAUUUGAUGGCAUAGUAGAUAUAGUAGUAGUAUUUCCAUAUAUCUCUCUUCUAUCUAUCUGUGCCAGCUUGGACCUAGUGGGAAGAUCGGCGGAGUCGGCGGCGGAACCCACUGGGAACUAUAUUUAUAUAGUUCUCACCCCGUGUGGUUUUGAGGUACAGGUACACACGAGAGCGGACCGGCAGGUGAUCGCGGUAAGGGCGUAGCACCCUAGCUAGCUAGUAGAGCUUUCCUAUUGUACUAGAGCACCCUCGUGUGCAUGGUUAUAGAUGACAUGAUGUAUUUUGGAUAGCUAGCAUUAUAUAUAUAUGAGAUGAUUAUGUAUUCAUUUUGGAAGCAUAAAUGUAAUCAAAGAUGUAAAAGUGGAAUGUGAUGUAAUAGCUAGAAGUAUCUCUCUUUUGUUUCACUUGUAUGUCUUCUACUUGUGAUGCUUGCUCUUGUAAUGUUCAGCACUGUUCGUGCUCUCGCUGUUGUUGCAUGAUCAUGUAUGUAUUCAAGUUGAUUUCCUGGAGACUUGUUGUACAUGAUCUGGUUGGUUAGCCUUGGGCGGACAGGGGAGACUCUGUCCGUCUGGCGGUCCGCUUGCCGCGCCCGAACCGUGCCAAAUCGGUAGCGGCCUCGGGACGGGGGCGUGACAACAAGCUGACUGUAAUGACCCUGAAGAAUAAAUGGUAAAAGUAGUAGUAGUAGUAGCAGCAGUUAGCAUGGGAGAGUAGUAAAAAUGUCAACUUUACAAAGUAGAGCAGAGAAGUGACAGCAGGAGGUUGGUGAGGAGCGAGCUCGACGGAGCGAUCCGGCGAGAAGGCACUUGGGCGGAACUCCAGCGGCAAGGCGCCUUCCGAAGGCCUUAGCAUGCUUCGACAGUUCAUGGCAAUAUGUCGGUGAUGAAGGAAAAUGGAGGAUCGAGGUCGAGGAGAAGCCGAUAGACCGGCGGUGUUGUGGGGAAGAGAGAGCUAGCGGAUCGGGCGGUCCGAUCACCGGAAGCGGGUGUAAAAUGGCGGACCCGAUCAUCCGCGGUCGUGCGCAUGAUGCGAGAAGGCCGGAGCGACGCCUCACUUAUACCGUUAAUGCAUCGAGCGGCGGCAAAACCGGGCGAUCGUAUCAGGGGCGAAAUAGCGAACCCAAAGACCUCCUGGCUUGCGGUAGUGCGGUCGAUAGGACGGACCCGAUUCCGAAUCCCGACAAGCAAGCAAGGAGCUCAGGAAGCCCAGGAAGACGCGCAACUCACCCGAAUUGGCAGGGCCCAACCAGGCCACUUCUUAUUUUGUCACUUUUGCUGUUCAGUCCUCAAGAUUAAAUAAUUCUCUUUUCUUUCGCAACUAAACUAUUAUAUACUACGAGAUGUAAUGUAACGCUAGGGCUUAGAGAAUGGAAAUGAAUUAGCUUCGUCUUCUCCCUAAUUAUCCUCUUCUUCUCCACUUCCUUUCUCUUCUCCUCCCCAAAACCCUAACUCUAAAUUCUCUAUAAACCCUAUUUUGUUCGCUCCCAAUCUCUCUUCCUACUCUCCUUUGUUUCUCUCCUUCUUCCUUUUCACAACUCACACUCCAAAUCGCCUCAAAUGCAUCCGUACAAUAACAAUUGGUAUGUUGAUAGCAUAAAAAGAAAAAGGAGAAAAAAAAGGAGAAGAAACGAACUUGAAUAAUGGUGUAUGAGAUGAUCCAUGCACUAGGUGCAUGGAGAAAUUUGAGUUCAAAUUUUGAACCUGGUGCAUAGGUUAAUCCAUGCACCAGGUGCAUAGAUUACAAAAAAAAAAGUGGGAUGUUCUCGUAGGCAUGAAUGGGUAUUACAAAUAACAGAUUAGUCCUUUCCCUUUCAUGUAUUUGCAAGAUGCUCCUUCAAACAUAUAAUAUUCUGUUAUUUUAACUAAGUUAUAAUAUAAACAAAUGGGAAGGACUAAUGUGCAAUUUUAUAUCAUGAUCCCACGAUCCUAUCUUUUAACUUCCCACCUCUCCCAUACGCACGCACCAUACGCACAUUCUCCGGACAGUUACGACUAAUCCCAUAAAUACCUCUCGAAACAAAAAAGAGAAAGACAGUUGUUUUUUAAACUUUCAAACCUAUUCCUAAACAAAAAAAAAAACCCAUACUAUUCCUGUCUACGAAAGAGAAAAGAAAGGUAAAAAAAAAAGAUAUUUUUCUCUUCUCCAUCAAUGCCAUAAUCAAAGCUCUCUCUCUCUCUAAAAAAAAAAAAAAAAGAAAAAAAAAGAAAAGAAAAAGAGAAGAAAAAAAAGAUCUCAGAUCUCUCUCUCUCUCUCUCUCUCUCUCUCUCUGUGUGUGAAAUUAGCACCCACCACAGCCCGACACCAACCUCGUUCUCCUCCGCCAUGGAUGAGCUCAUCGUGGUGGAGCGGCGACCCAUGGAUCCGCGGUGGCCGUGGUCACCAUCAACCGCCCAGGCGCGCUCAACUCGCUCACGCGCCCCAUGAUGGUCGCGCUCGCAGGCGCGUUUCGCCGCCUCGACGCCGACGACACCGUGGCCGCCGUGGUCCUCGCCGGGCGCGGCCGCGCCUUCUGCUCCGGCGUCGACCUCACCGCCGCCGAGGACGUCUUCAAGGGCGACAUCAAGGACCCCGCCGCCGACCCCGUCGCCGCCAUGGUCGCGUGCCGCAAGCCCAUCGUCGGCGCCAUCGCCGGAUUCACCGUCACCGCCGGGUUCGAGAUCGCCCUCGCCUGCGACCUGCUCGUUGCGGGCCGCGACGCCGAGUUCGCCGACCCCUACGCUGCCGAGGCCGCCGCUCCUCGCCGACCUUAGCUACCCCAGCGUCGUCGAGGACGUCCUUCUCGCCGACCCCAACUACCCGAGGCCGCGUCGCUCCUCGCCGACCCCUGCGCCCUAGGCCGCAUCGCUCCUCGCCGACCGUCGCGCCGAGGCCACCCGCUCAGAGGCCACCAGCCCCGAGGCCGCGUCGCUCCUUGCCGACCCCUGCGCCCGAGGCCGCAUCGCUCCUCGCCGACCCCUGCGCCCGAGGCCGCCCGCCUCCUUGCCGACCCUUGCGCCACUGAGGCUGUCGCGCCGAGGCCACCCGCUCAGAGGCCGCUUGCUCCUCGACGACCUCCGCCCGCUCCUCGCCGACCCCUGCGCCGCCGAAGCCGCCUGCUCCUUCGCCGAGCGCCUCGUCGCCUUCGCCUGUGUCGAGGGCUUCUUCUCCGGCUCCUGCUGAGCCAUCUUCUGGCUCAAGAAGCGUGGCCUCAUGCCCGGGCUCACCUUCUCCAACAAGCUUAUCUCCCGCGACGAGGGCCUCCACUGCCGCCGCCGCCUCCGUCCAAGUGAUCUCGGUGAGAUCCGCUCGCUCCCUCCUCCGCUCCGCGGCGGCGCGCGACCUGCGCACGCUCGAGGAGAUCCUGAGCGCCGCCGACACCGAUCCCUUCAACAGCAAGCUCUUUGUCCACGGCCUUGGGUGGGAAACCACCUCCGAGGGGCUCCGCGCCAUGUUCGCCCGAUACAGCGAGAUCGAGGAUUGCCGUGUCGGCUUCGUCCAAUUCAGUCACCGGAGCUCGGCGAGCCACGCCCUCCGCGAACCCCAGAGGCUCAUCGACAACUGCAUGACCGCGUGCCAGCUCACCUCCACCAAACUCACCCCGCACUGAACCAACUCGUCACCGCUCACCAGGUGUUCGAUCUGUGGCCACAACGAGCCGCGGUGUUGAUCCAGGCUGCGGCGCUUAAGGCGGAGCACGUGCAUGCGGCAGACGCGCCGCAGAAUGUGCCGACAAUUGGUGCGCGGCGGCGGGCUGCUCGCGGACGUCAACAGCGAGCUUUCGACCGUCGGCAUGUUCGUUGACACCUGCCAGGACUCGUUCGACGAGUUCCCGGACGUCGACGGCUCGCCCCUCGCAAAUGUGCAGACCAAUCUCAGCAGGCUCGUCAGCAACAGCAUCUGCCUCGCCGCCUACAAGGCUGCCUAUGAUAUUGCUUUGACGGAGUUCACGCCAACAAAUCAUGCCCGCCAACUAUUUGAUGAAAUGCUUAAGAUGUACUUUUAACGUCGAACCCGAUCUGUAUAUAAAGAGAGAGAGCGGUGCUCUUCUCUUUAUAAAAAUGUUUUAUCAAAAAGGAGUGAGCGGUGCUCUUCCCUUUAUAAAAAUAUAGCAUCAUCGAAAGAGGGAGAGAGCGGUGCUCUUCUCUUUGCAAAAAAAAAAAAAAAAGAGAGAAAGAGGGAAAAAGAUUACUUCUCUAAUUAUGAAAGAGAGAGAGAGCUUUGUUACUGUUAGGGAGGCAAGGAAGGAAUUUUUUCCACCUUAGUUGUCCCAUGAAUGUAAAAGAAACAAAGAAGAAUUAUGCAUCUUUGUUGCCUUGUACUUUCAAAAGAGAUAAAGAGAGAAAAAUACUCUCUUAAUUAUCUUACAAUGAGGAGGCAAAAGAAAUUAAUCGGGUUAUUGAUUAAUAUUCUUUUGAUCGCCUUUUUAUUGGAAGAAUAAUGGGAUGUUCAUCGAACCCCUUAAUUCUAUCCAAAAUCGAAUCUCUCGAUUUGGCUAAAUUAGACCAAAUCGAGAUGCUCCAAAUUAAAUUAAGUUGAAUUUUCAUUAUUCAUGACUGAGAAUUUGACAAAUAAAAAAUGCAUUCGAAAUUUUUUUUUAAGUGACGAAUUUGAUUCUGAACUAUAUAUUUAAAUAUGUUGAUCUUAAACAAAUCCUAAAUAAUUUUCAUCUCAAAAUCUCAUAUGGACCAAGCCCAUACUCAUCUCAAAUCUCAUAACCCAAGCUCAACAUUACCCAAGUUCAGCCCAAACAUAAAUCUGAACCCAAUACUAUAACUUGCCUGAAGAAAAUAUGGGUUUAAACCAUACGGGCUCAUAUUGAGCCCGAGCCCACAUGUAAUUCAAGCCUCAACUUGGACCCAUAUUAUAUGGGCCUGAAUUUGACCCAUGUCUGAAUGUAAUUAUAUGAAUCUGAAUUUGGACCAUGUUUAAUCCAUGAAGCUAUACCUAGCCCAAGUCCAGAUUUCAAUUACAAUGUGAACUUAAUUCAAAAUCUUAGUUACACCGCACGGGUCUAAAUUGAGCCUGUAACACAAACUACAUGGGCCUGAAUUGAGCCCGAGCCCAUAUCCAAAAUUUAGAUAUAAUUCAGGCCUCAACUUAACUACAUGGGCCUGAAUUUAGCCCAUACCCGAAUCCAUAUGAUAUAAGCCUACAUCUAACUCACAUUGAGCCUGAACCCAAAUAUGGCUUUACGGGCCUGAACUUAGCCCAAGUCUAAAUCCAAUGGCCAAUCUACACAUCUAACCCAAACCCAACCAAAUUAUAUCUCCAAAUGGGCCUAAGUUCAUGUCCAAGGCUGAAUAUAAACCCAGCCUAAUUAUAUCUCCGAAUGAGCCCAGGUUCAUGUCAAGACUAAAUAUAAACCCAACCCAAUUAUUUAUUUUAGAUUGAUCCAAGCUGAACCCAAUCUUUAAUUCCAAUCCAAUCAAGUCAUAUAUGAAACCUAUACCAUAAUAACAAAAUCAAAGUCCAAACCUAACCUCAAUCAUGCACAACCUAAUCCAACCUCUUCUCUAUACCAAGUCUUUGGAAACAAACUAUUUCAACCCGUUUCUCUAGCAUAUAAAACUAGAGCCAAACCACAACCAUAUUCAAACUCGAUCAAAUUCUAAAUAUAUGCUUAGAAUUGAUCAAAUCGUUUUUUUUAUCUUAGUACAUAUGACUAAGGUAAAAAUAAUUAAAUCGAUUAGACUCUAAUACAUAUACUUAGAGUUCAAACAUAAGAAAUCAAGUUAGACUCUAAUAUGUAUAAUUAGAGUUUAAUUUAAAUCAAUUUCGGCUAAUCCUAAUAUAUAUAUAUUUAGUAUAUAGCCGUCCUUCACCUUAGAGUGAACUCAAAUUUAGUUUGACUCUAAUAUGCAUAUUUAGAGUUCAAUUAAAUUAAUUAAACUCUAAUAUAUAAAAUUAGAGUUAAUCUAAAUCAAAUCGGCUAAUUCUAAUACAGAUAGAUUUAGCCAUCCUGCACCUCAUGGUGAACCUAAAUUAGACUCUAAUACAUACACUUAGAGUUUAAUUUAAAUCAAAAUUUUGACUAAUCCUAACAUAUAUAACUAGGAUUUGGUUGAUAUUUCAUCUCAUGGUGAACCUAAAUUAGACUCUAAUACAUACACUUAGAGUUUAAUUUAAAUCAAAAUUUUGACUAAUCCUAAUAUAUAUAAUUAGGAUUUAGUUGAUAUUUUGCCUUACGGUGAACUCAAUGUAAGACAUAAUUAAGCUCUAACCCAUAUGCGUAGGGCUUAAUUACACUUUAAAAUAUUUAGGUCUGUCCUAACACAUACAUGUAGGAUGAAGGCUUAAAUUGAAUCAAAUUCAUUGGACUCUAAUACAUCUGCUUGGAGUUCAAACAAAUGAAGCUAAGUUAGACUCUAAUACAUAUACUUAGAGUUUAAUUUAGACUAAUCCUAAUAUAUAUAAUUAGGAUUUAGUUAACAUUUCACCUUAUGGUGAACCCAAAGCAAAUAUGAUUAAGCUCUAUCCCAAAAGCUUAGAGCCUAAUUACACUAGACUCUAAGAUAUAAAAUUAGAGUCUAAUUCGAAAUAUUUGGGCUAAUCCUAACACAUACAUUUAGGAUGAAAGCUUAAAUCAAUUUAAUCAAAUCNNNNNNNNNNNNNNNNNNNNNNNNNNNNNNNNNNNNNNNNNNNNNNNNNNNNNNNNNNNNNNNNNNNNNNNNNNNNNNNNNNNNNNNNNNNNNNNNNNNNNNNNNNNNNNNNNNNNNNNNNNNNNNNNNNNNNNNNNNNNNNNNNNNNNNNNNNNNNNNNNNNNNNNNNNNNNNNNNNNNNNNNNNNNNNNNNNNNNNNNNNNNNNNNNNNNNNNNNNNNNNNNNNNNNNNNNNNNNNNNNNNNNNNNNNNNNNNNNNNNNNNNNNNNNNNNNNNNNNNNNNNNNNNNNNNNNNNNNNNNNNNNNNNNNNNNNNNNNNNNNNNNNNNNNNNNNNNNNNNNNNNNNNNNNNNNNNNNNNNNNNNNNNNNNNNNNNNNNNNNNNNNNNNNNNNNNNNNNNNNNNNNNNNNNNNNNNNNNNNNNNNNNNNNNNNNNNNNNNNNNNNNNNNNNNNNNNNNNNNNNNNNNNNNNNNNNNNNNNNNNNNNNNNNNNNNNNNNNNNNNNNNNNNNNNNNNNNNNNNNNNNNNNNNNNNNNNNNNNNNNNNNNNNNNNNNNNNNNNNNNNNNNNNNNNNNNNNNNNNNNNNNNNNNNNNNNNNNNNNNNNNNNNNNNNNNNNNNNNNNNNNNNNNNNNNNNNNNNNNNNNNNNNNNNNNNNNNNNNNNNNNNNNNNNNNNNNNNNNNNNNNNNNNNNNNNNNNNNNNNNNNNNNNNNNNNNNNNNNNNNNNNNNNNNNNNNNNNNNNNNNNNNNNNNNNNNNNNNNNNNNNNNNNNNNNNNNNNNNNNNNNNNNNNNNNNNNNNNNNNNNNNNNNNNNNNNNNNNNNNNNNNNNNNNNNNNNNNNNNNNNNNNNNNNNNNNNNNNNNNNNNNNNNNNNNNNNNNNNNNNNNNNNNNNNNNNNNNNNNNNNNNNNNNNNNNNNNNNNNNNNNNNNNNNNNNNNNNNNNNNNNNNNNNNNNNNNNNNNNNNNNNCGGGUUGCGGGUUCGCCUUCUCCGCACUAUCCAUUGCCGGCGGGUCUUGGGUUCGCGUUUUGCCUCCGAUCCGGAAAUCUGCCCAUCCGACCCGCAAGGCUUCCAUCUUCCCCAACCGUAGAUGCUGUCGGACCUCCUUCUCCCUUCGCGUUCCUCCCAUUUCCCCCACUGCCGCCGUCUACUCGCAGAUCGCCCACGCCGCCGAUCGCACCAUCGCCGCAAGGCUCAAGCAGGCCUGCGGCGGGUUCCAGAGCGCGGCCGGCGCCUUCGCUUUCUUGAGGGAGACAGUCGCUGGGAAGGCUGCCGCGGCCGCAGCGCCACCCUUCCUCGUCGCCCGCCUGAGUUCCGCCUGAACGCCCUUGCCGCCGGUUCACCCCACUGAGCUCGCUCCUUCACUAUUCUGCUGCUGCCACUUUUAUUCUCCAUUUUAACUAGUAAAGUUGCUAUUUUUACUAUUCUCCCAUGCUAACUAUUACUACUGCUACUGCUACUUCUACCAUUUAUUCUCCAGGGUCGUUACAAUCCCCUCCCCUUAAAAUCAUCCUUGUCCUCAAGGAUGGAACUUGUUGAACUGGUUUGGGGCUCUCAUUUGCUUCACUCGCGGCACAUUCUUCUUCUUCAGAAUUGUUUCCUUUAAGCCAUAUUGAAACCUCUGUUCUGUUUUCUUGCGUCACCUUGUGCUGGUGUGAGGUGUUUCCAAUUCGUGUCCACACUCGCCUAUCAUCUCUGGUUGGCAGCAUGGACGGCGGUACCUGUUGGGGCGAGGGCUCACCCUCGGGACCUUCAGGCAGUCGCAACCUGCACGCCGCCAGUCUUGUCUGCUCCGAGAUGUGGUAAAGUGCAAACUGACUCCAUGAUACUUAUAGCCUCAUAGACAUUCCCUUCAUUUACUUCUUGUGGCUCACUUGCUUCUUCUUUUGCUGUUUCAGAUUCAGCACCCAUUUCAAUCUUUUUCUGGGCUUGUAACAUAUGCCCUAAACGCCUACGCAGCUUCAACAAAAUUUGGAAGUACUACAGAAGCUGCCAAGAACAUAGCCCAUAAUUCUAAAGAAAACAUUGAUCAUGAUCUUAUAGAAGGGGCUGUUGCAAGUAAGCAGACGAAGACGCAAGAGCUAUGCUAUGGAUACGGAGAGGAGUAUAUUACAGGAAAGCCAGAAGCAAAGAUUCUGGCCCUCAGUUUGCAAGAAGGAAGCCAGGUCACAAAUUCUUGGCUGAUAACAACCCACUACCUCAACAACCCUGGUUGGAUCAAAUUCAUCAUCAGCAUCAACAGCAUAAGCUCUGGAAGCGAUCUAUUGGGCGUGGAACCUAUCAUCAUUGUCGCCAUCCAGUUCUCAGAUCGAAGUCAUCAUUGAAGGUUGCGACUCAGCUCGGAACCAAAUCGGGCCUAGAUCGACCCUUGGUAGCACCUCAAUCAUCAUCGCAGCCAACCAAAUCUCCGAAAUUACAAUUGGCGAUGGAUGCUACUCAGAUUGGGCCAUUACAAAUUGGAUGCUAUCACAAUCGAGUUGUUAUGAAGAUUAGGCUGUUACAAACUAGAAAGGCAAAAACAGAAAAACAAGAGAUCGUUAACUACAAGGACAAACCCCCUUGGAAGGAGUUUGCUGCAGAUAGGUGGAAGGGGAUUGACAUCAAGUGUCUAGCUGAUGACAUUGAUGCAUUCUGUAGGCAAAUACACAACAAGACGGUGGAAAACUAUCAAGCCAGAUCGGAGAACUUAAGUGUAAUACACUGGAUCUUAGCAAAUUGCAAGAUUCGAGUGUUUGAUCUGUGUGUGGAGCCUUUCCACAGUUUUNNNNNNNNNNNNNNNNNNNNNNNNNNNNNNNNNNNNNNNNNNNNNNNNNNNNNNNNNNNNNNNNNNNNNNNNNNNNNNNNNNNNNNNNNNNNNNNNNNNNCAUUGCGUAUGCUUUCAGAGCUCGUUUGAAGUCGCCUUGCGUCUUGUAGAGCUGGCCCUCGUGGACAUCGUCCGCAUCUGCAACAUCAACAACUGCAUCCAUCGUAGAGCUGUUUACAAUGAGGUCUUCUUCAAGCUCGUCGUCGCGAAAAUGCUCAGCAGUAUGUCCCACUGUAUCGCCUUGCCUCAACGGGGGGACAUCCAUGGCGCUGUAUGUCCGAUGAGCUGCGUCGGGAUAACUCGAGACGAUGCGGAUGCUAACGUCGGAAUCUGACUCGUCUUUCAGAUCAGCGAUAAUCAAACCGUCGUCAGUGUCUACCGAUUCUGGAUCGUCAAUGAGAAUAGGAUGAGAAGAUCUGCAGAACAAGUGAAAGCAAGGAGUGUAUUGUAAAUAUUAAAUAGUACAAGAAACCUUAAGUGUAAAUUUCAUACGGUGCAAGAGGUAUAAGUAAUGAUGCAAAAUAUUACGCGAACCAUGCAGCAUAAAAAUAAUAUAAAAUGAAAAAAUAUGUAAUAGUGCAACCGUACAAUAUAUAUUGCUUACACUUGAAAGCGGUAAAAUAUAAUGGUGCAAAAGUGCGUUGAGAGUAGUGCAACCUCUUAAAAUAAAGAGGUCACAAGUGCAAUAAGUCUCGGUAAUGGUGCAAAAGAAAUAAUAGUGUAACUUACGAGCCAACUAUUGCAAAAUUUGUCUGCUGAGGAGUAGAUGCAUUCCCGGAACGCCUGUUAAUCAACAGAUCCAGCUGUUCGUCUGUAAGCACUUCGUCUAUAUCAUCGGGAUCACAAGUAGCAAACUUUCUCUCGACUAAGUUACUCACAGCAUAUAGCUCAAUUAGAUACGCGUGGCCUUUAUAGAGUCUCCGAAUGUUUCCGACAUCGUCGUCGUCAACAAUGUCGAUGAGUUUGUUUAGAUUUCCACAAUAGCAAAGUUUAAUUUCGAUAUUGCAGGAUUCCUGUGAAGUAUUAAUGUACUUGCAGAACAUUGCUUGCAGGGAUUUAAAAUUAUCGCCUUGCCUGAUGAAAUUGAGCCGGCUGGAUCCUCCUACAUAAUUGACAGAGCCUCCUUCCUCCUUAAAACACCCAUUAAAAUUGAAGUGCACUGGAAUUUCAUCAGUGUUAUCCAUGACUCGUAAGAAUGGAUAGAGAAAAUUAGCUAAUAGUUAUCAAAAAACACUCUUUAUAUAAUAUCAUCCAGUUAACGUAAUGAGUGGUUAAGUUGUGCAAGGCGGGAAAGUACUUGACACAGCGGAAUCAAUAGAUUUUAGAUUUUAUUCCCUUCAGUCCUUGAGACAAACGCGGUUGCACUUUCAAAUAAUAUAAAUAAAAAUAUCAAAAACCUAACAGCAAACACAGCCUCUGGCCAAUAGAAUAUCUACGCCCUAAACCCACCUUUCCCGCGCUUGCUGCAUUAAUGGCUCUUUAAUGGCUUGCAUUUAAUGCUCUGUCAUAAAACGGCGCUGUUGCGUAUAUCUCAAAGGGCCUCAUAUAAUUACAGGAUUGUAAGGGAAUUUCGCCUCGGGAAGGUAAGCAAGUUACGCUGUUUGGGAAUGGAAAUAAAAUAGUGUAACAGAUGUAAUCAAAUCACCAUUUAAACAAGGAAUUGCACUAUUAUAUCCAUUACAUUACACUGUUAUAAUACAAGAGGAAUUUUAUUACACCACUUUUACAAUAAAUUGCACCAUUAUGUACAUUACAUUGCACUGUUACACAGAUUGUACACACCCUGACAAACACUCCGGGCCAUUAAAUGCGGCCCAUGCGCUUCACGCAACAUGAAUUUUUUUCGGAACUCGGACAACAUCGAUUCCGCUAUUCACAAGACCAGGUGUUUGCUGUUCGGCUUUAAAAUAUGUGAACCUAAAACAAGACUGAAAUAAUAGUGCAACGAGGGAAGAGACACCGGCGAAGCAUCGAACUUUCUUCGGGAGAAUUCAUCCCGGAUUUAAUCCUGAUUAAACUUCUUAUUGCACCAUUCUCAACAUACUCUUGAAGGUGUAUUAUAANNNNNNNNNNNNNNNNNNNNNNNNNGGGAUGAUACUUGUAAAAGUAUCCUAGAUCAACUAUAUAUAUAUAUAUAUAUAUAUAUAUAUAUAUAUAUAUAUAUAUAUAUAUAUAUAUAUAUAUAUAUAUAAUAAGGCUAUUAAUUAUACUCUUGUGAGUAUUGGACCCUUUGUACUCAUAAGUUGUUUUCGAUUAUGGGAUUUCCGAAUCGACGAUCCACUCCGUUAAAUAUGAAAUCAGAUAUACUGCUCUUACUCUAAAUAGUGAAAAGAAUUUUCUAUAAAAUUUUCAUCGCAUUUGGAUUGUUUUACACCGUUAAACUCACAAACACACCACAUCGGCCAUUAAAAUUGUCAAUUUUGAGAUCUUUUGAUCACUAGUCAAAUGAUGUCGAAAAAAUUUAAAAUUUAGUUUCCAAAUACUUUCAAUAGUGUAGAUCAAGUCUAACGGAGCCGAUCAUCGAUUCAGAAGCCGCAUCAUCGAAAAUAACUUGGUAGCACGGAGCGCUCCGUGCUACCGAUAGCAUAGUAGCCGAACUCUAUAUAAAUAUUAACUAUAUAUAUAUAUAUAUAUAUAUAUAUAUAUAUGCUAUCGGAAGUAUAGAGGUUAUAGAGGAAUUUGUCACACUCAUUAUUGAGUGUGACAAAUUCCUUUAUGUGGUUGAUUAUGAUCAUUUGGCUAAAAAAAAAAAUUUGAGGUUGAGGAGGUUUCAUAUAUAUUUUUACCAAAUUUGAGUGAAUUUGGUCGAGUCAGUAAUUUCUAGAUUUCGCGAACUCGAAAAUAUAGACUUCUAUAUAAUUGUGAGUAAGAGUUUAGAUGACUUUAUGAUUUUGGCGUUGAAGCAAUUGCGAAUGCGUACAACUUUCUCAAAGUCACGAGUUCAACCUUUAAAAUCCAACAAAAAAUAAAGGUAAAAGCAUACGGAGUUUACAUGAAUUAUGGACGAUUUUAAAUCGACUAUCCAAGCUUCAAUGUUUUGAUUUUACUACUAACCUUUUAAUUUGUUUGAUUUGGAUCAGUCAAUGAUAUUUUGACUUUAAAAUUUAAAUUAUUUAUUUAUUUUAAUUUUAAUUAAUUUAUAUUUGUGAGAAUUGCAUCAACUAUAUUUAGGAAAUCUGUAAAGAUAAAUGGAGGAUUUAAAUUUUAAAGUUAAAGUGUCGUAGACUGACUCAAAUUAAACAAAUUAAAAAAUAAAUAGUAAAAUAAAAAUUUUGAAAGGUUGGAUAGAGAAUUCAAAAUAGGAAUACAAACGAGACGGAACUGGAAUCACCGGGACAUAAAGGAUUCCCAACAUCCCACAUUGUUUUCUUGUAAGGGCGGAGUGGAUUCGGAGUAGAUUAAUUUUUAUCAUUUUUGGCCCCACUUACUUUUCUAUUCAAGCCAAAUCGGCGCGAGAGUGCAUGGAUUAUUAGCGGAGGAUCAAAAGAAAAAAAGUAAUCUCCCACCUUUUGCUCUAUUUUCUUAGUUGAUCGGGACAAAUUUGGAACAGACUAGGAGCGAGUCACAUUUUUCUAUAUUUUUAUUCCUAUUUACCGCCCUACUAAGAGCACAAUCUAAGCGAUGGCUCCUGCAAUUAACACGGACCUAUUUGCAACCAUAAUUCAAAAUGAUCUAUAUAUAGUUUUGAUAAGUUAUGCACAUUUUAACCAAAAACAAACAAACAAUUAAGCCUUCGUUUGGGAUUGCGGAAAGAUUGCGUUACGUGCGGUGAGAAAGUACGUUGGAAAAAUAUCCCGUUUGUUUCCGUACAUAAUAUUGCGUUCCGCAUAUCGCGAUGAGUCGGUUACAAUAUAUUUUCUGCGCUCCCACCGAAAAACGCAGAAGCAUAUCCUUAUAUGUUUUUUUCUCAACUCCAUUUUAUGAAAUAGCGUUAGAUAGGCCUCAAUACCAAACUAAGCCUAAACCCCAAGCAUUGAUGGAGUUUUGGGGAGUUGUUGGGUAGCUUUUCGUGUACGCAAGAUGAGAUGCGAGUUCCACCGAAUGAGUGGACGGACACCAAAGGAGUGGACUACACCUGAGUAAACACUAGUCUGUGGGCCCCAUCCAAAUGACCGGUCCAGCCGGUCAACUCCGGUCAAGAUUAGCAAGCAACUGAAAUGACCAGCUCCACAGUUGGUACGGUCUAACUUAAAUAAAAUCACUAUUAUUAUUAUUAUUAUUAUUAUUAUUAUUAUUACGUUGCUAAUUUUUUUAAUUUGAAAAAAAAACAAAAAUAUCUUCUUUUUUUUUUCUAAUAUACUAAAAUUAUGGCGAGAUCUCUUGCUGUAGAAAAAUAUAGACGGAAAGGUAUUAGACUAUUUUGAGUUUUUCGCUCGAUUUUUUUAAAAAUUUAAAUUAACUAUUCAAUAUUUUAAUUUGAUUGAUUGGGACUUCGAAUUUUGAAUGAGUCAGUUAUUUUUGAUAUAUUUUACACAGUCCUUGUAAUUAUAAAUUUGUGAAAUCAAAGUAAUUAUUUUAAAAUUUGAAGUUAAAAUAUUAUUUACUAAUUCAAAUCAAACAGAUUAAAUAUUUAAAUAAUAAAAUUAAUUUUUUAAAAAAUUAGAUUAUCAAUUUAAGAUGGUGCAUAGUUCAGAUAAAUUUAUAUGUUCUUAAUUAUUUUCAUCCGUUAGAUCAUACAAUUUAGUCAAUAAUCCACUCAACUCUAGAGAGGUAUAGUAAUCUAAUUUUAUUCAAUCAUACACUAUGGUACUGUUUGGUUCGGGUAUAAGCAAGCUAUUACAGGGAUACGUACAAGUAUGGGAAUAAGAAAAAUAGCAUUUAGAUGAAAAUUCGGUUAUUCCCAGGGAUAAAAAAAUAAUGUUUGGAUAGAUAAUAUGGAAUAAGAAAAAUAUUUAAUAGUUUUAUAUAGAAAAUGGAGGUGUUGGUAGGGAUAGUUAUACCCGAUUAUUAUAGAUAACUGAGAAUUACUAUUCUCGGAUAAAAAAUUAGCGUUUAGAUAUAAAAGGGGGAUAAGAGCCUAUCCCUAUUUCUAUUCCCGGGAUAAGUACAAGUCUGAGGAUAAGAAAAAUAAUGUUUGGACGAAAAUUGGGUUGUUCCCGAGGAUAAGAACAAUUUUAGAUAGUUUUAUAUAAAAAAUGGAGGUGUUGGUGGGAUAACCGAGAACUACUAUUCUUGGAUAAAAAAUUAACGUUUGGGUAUAAAGAAGAGAAUAAAGACCUAUUCCUAUUUCUAUUUUCUAACCAAACGCUGAACACUGCAUGAAUUGAAUUGAGAAGUACAAUACUUUUUUUUUUUCUUUUUUUUUUUAAGCUUCUCCAAAAAGUGAUGUGCGGAAUCACGUGUGCUUUAAGCAAUCCACGACUUCCCAUAAACCAAAAAAAAAGCAAAGCAGCAGCAAACAAGGAGGUAAAUUGGCUCACCUAGGAAUGGAAAGGAACCCUAAUAUAAGGUACACUUAAUUAUAAUCUCUUUAUUUUUUUUGGCUAAAAUACAUGGGAUUGUCCCUGUGGUAUUCCAUUAUGAAAAGAUCUUCCUUUAAUACUAUUGAAAUAUAAAGUUAAACUAAUCUCAUCUAAAAGAGAUGAAUCUAAUAUAAAAUUUACUAAAAGUAAAAUGUUUAAGUAAUGGAUACUUUACGGCGCUAUGGUUGGUAUUUACCAUUUGUUUGUUUCACCAAAAAUAAAAUUCAAAUGAACUAGAAUUUAUAUGAAAAUUAUUUCUUUUCUAUUAUUGAUUUGCAUAGCUAUGAAAUUAAAACUCUUCUAGUUUUGGUGUUUAUUUAAUAAGAAGUGAAUAACUUAAAAACUAAAGUAUCCUAUUGUAAAUAUUACAUGAGAUUUUUACAGUAUUUUAAGAAAUUUGAGUUUUGAUUGAAAAUAAAGUUUGCAUGACUCAAACAAAAAGUAAUAAUACAAACAAAAAAAACCGUGAUUUUGAAUCCCCGCGAGGUUUGGAGGGGUCCUGAAUACGAACUUUAACUACUAGGCACAAGUUUCUCUCUCUCUCUCUCUCCAAAAAUAAAAUAAAAUAAAAUAAAAAAUUAGGCACAAGGAUUAUUCAUAUAUAGUUUUGGCUAAAUUACAAAAAACCCUCCGGUCAAAAUUCGAUUUUUCAUUUUUUCCCUCUGUCAUUUAAAAACCUACACUUUGCUCUUUUAUAAAAUGAAAAAUGUUCAUAGGAAAGUACGGUGUGAGACUGUAAUGAUAAAAUGAUCAUUUUGCCCCUCAUCAUGUUCACAGCAGAGAAGGAUGAGGACAUUUUUGGCAUAAAAAAUAUAUAAUAAUAUUUUAUAAACGGAACCUUAACGGAUUACUAACGGUAGAGGGCGAAGUGAACAUAUUUUAUUUUACAAGGAGGCAAAUUGUAGGUUUUUAAAUGACAGGGGGAGGGGGGUAGUGAAAAACCGGGUAUUAUGUAAUUUAGUCUAUAGUUUUUAUAUAGGGUUAAUUUCAUGUAUAUUCCUAUAAAUAUAGUGAAUGACAAAUAUAUUUCUAUAAAGUUUAACUUUCAUAUAUUAUUCUUAUAAAAGUCGUGAUAUUUUUAAAUAUAUUCAUACCGUUAGAAUCUGUUAAAAAAAUUUAGUUAAUCAUAGAUUAAAUACUUAAUCUUGGUUAAUUUUUAAUAUUUUUAACCCUCUUAUAUUAUAUUAUUAUGAUUUUUAGAAAAACAUAUUUAUGAUGGCAAAAUUGAAAAUAUAAAUGAUUUUCUAACGGUAAUAAAUCAGAGAGAUAUAUUUGAAAAUAUUAGAAUUUUUGCAGGAACAACAUAUAAAAGUUGAACUUUGUAGAGUUAUAUUUGUCAUUUACUAUAUUUGCAGAAAUCUACAUAAAAUUAACCAUUAUAUAUAGAGAGAGAGAGAGCUAGCCUCCUAUACUAUCUAUGGUACCGAGGCUCCGAUACUAUAGUCCCGUUUUCAAUUUUAGGGUAUUCAAAUCAACAAUCCACACCGUUAAAACUGAUCUAGAGUAUUUAAAGUUUUUAGAAAUAAAAUUUUAUAUUUUUUCGACAUAGUUUACUUUAUGAUCAAACCAUUUCAAAAUUGUUAAUUUUCAAUGGCUACUAUGGCGAGUUUGGAGUUUAACGGUGUAGAAGAAUUUAAAUUUCUUCAAAUUUUGAUAGAAAAUAUUUUAAACUAUCUAAAUUAAGGUUAACAUUCUUGAUUUUGAAUUUAAAAGUCCUAUACUCAAAUUUUAAAAAUUAUACAAUUUUCACCGUCCAUUUUGGCAUAAUUUAUUUACUAAGUAAACGAUGUCGAAAAAAAUUAAAAUUUUAUUCCUAAGAACUUCAUAUAUCCUAAAUCAUAUUUAACGGUGUGGAUCGUUAAUUUGAAUACCUUAAGAUCGAAAACAAGACUAUAGUGCCGGAGCUCCGGUACUAUAGAUAGUAUAGUAGCCUAAUUCUAUAUAUAUAUAUAUAUAGAGAGAGAGAGAGAGAGAGAGUCCGGCUACUAUGCUAUUAAUAGCACGAAGCACUUGGUGCUACCAAGUUUUCCGCCGUUAGAUCUACCCUUUUGAUCAUUUUCACCCGUUAGAUCAUACUAUUCAACCAACCACCCACUCAACCCUAGAGGGCCCAUAUCAUCCUAACCGCACAUCUCUUAAUCCAAUGUCGAAAAACUUGAUAACACUAAUGACUUGUUGCUAUUAAUAGUAUAGUAGACUAGUUCUCUCUCUCUCUCUCUCUCUCUCUCUCUCUCUCUCUCUCUCUAUAUAUAUAUAUAUAUAUAUAUAUAUAUAAAAUUGAGCUCCUAUGUUUUUAAAAGUACAAGUCAUUGGUGCUUGUAAGUUUUCAGCCCUUGGAUUAAAGGAUAUGCGGUUAGGAUGAUAUGGACCCUCUAGGGUUGAGUGGGUGGUUGGUUGAAUAGUAUAAUCUAAUGGGCAAAAAUGAUUAAAGAUAAAAAUUUAACGGUAAAAAAUUUACAAACAUUAAAUGCUUAUUAUUUUUACAAGUACUGUAGCCGGACUAGGCUAAGGACAC